AAAUCACCUCCGGAAAAAAUCACCUCCAGAAAAAAUCACCUCCGGAAUGCGCUGAUUUUUUCGACCACCUCCAAAUCACCUCAAUUUUGGCACACAUGAUCUCUUGCACAAACAAAGCUAGGUUUCCAAGGUUUUAUAUUUUUUUGAUUUUUUUGAAUUUAUACUGCCCUCUAGACUGACUGAUCAAAACAUCGGUCUAUACCUCAAGGGGGCAUUGUAAAAUAUUGUUUUGGCCAAAUUUUCUUUCAUGGACAUGUUUGGCACAUGUGGGUCACCGUGUCAUAGAGAAAUUGGGUGAUUUGGAGGUGGUGGAAAAAUUACCUUUUUGUUCAAAAAAUGGCUUAACCAAAUGGUCCCUCCGGAAUGCGGUGAUUUUUUCGACCACCUCCAAAUCACCCAAAUUUUGGCACACAUGAUCUCUUGCACAAACAAAGCUAGGUUUCCAAGGUUUUAUAUUUUUUUUGAUUUUUUUGAAUUUAUACUGCCCUCUAGACUGACUGAUCAAANNNNNNNNNNNNNNNNNNNNNNNNNNNNNNNNNNNNNNNNNNNNNNNNNNNNNNNNNNNNNNNNNNNNNNNNNNNNNNNNNNNNNNNNNNNNNNNNNNNNNNNNNNNNNNNNNNNNNNNNNNNNNNNNNNNNNNNNNNNNNNNNNNNNNNNNNNNNNNNNNNNNNNNNNNNNNNNNNNNNNNNNNNNNNNNNNNNNNNNNNNNNNNNNNNNNNNNNNNNNNNNNNNNNNNNNNNNNNNNNNNNNNNNNNNNNNNNNNNNNNNNNNNNNNNNNNNNNNNNNNNNNNNNNNNNNNNNNNNNNNNNNNNNNNNNNNNNNNNNNNNNNNNNNNNNNNNNNNNNNNNNNNNNNNNNNNNNNNNNNNNNNNNNNNNNNNNNNNNNNNNNNNNNNNNNNNNNNNNNNNNNNNNNNNNNNNNNNNNNNNNNNNNNNNNNNNNNNNNNNNNNNNNNNNNNNNNNNNNNNNNNNNNNNNNNNNNNNNNNNNNNNNNNNNAAUUUUGGCACACAUGAUCUCUUGCACAAACAAAGCUAGGUUUCCAAGGUUUUAUAUUUGUUGAAUUUUUUUGAAUUUAUACUGCCCUCUAGACUGACUGAUCAAAACAUAGGUGUAUACCUCAUGGGGCAUUGAAAAAUAUAUUUUUUCCAAAUUUUCUUUCAUAGACAUGUUUGGCACAUGUGGGUCACCGUGUCAUAGAGAAAUUGGGUGAUUGGAGGUGGUGGAAAAAAUCACCAUUGUUCAAAAAUGGCUUAAGUUUAGACCAAAUGGUCCCUCCGGAAUGCGGUGAUUUUUCGACCACCUCCAAAUCACCUCAAUUUUGGCACACAUGAUCUCUUGCACAAACAAAGCUAGGUUUCCAAGGUUUUAUAUAUUUUUUAUUUUUUUUGAAUUCAUAAUGCCCUCUAGACUGACUGAUCAAAACAUCGGUCUAUACCUCACGGGGCAUUGUAAAAUAUAUUUUUUCCAAAUUUUCUUUCAUGGACAUGUUUGGCGCAUGUGGGUCACCGUGUCAUAGAGAAAUUGGGUGAUUGGAGGUGGUGGAAAAAAUAACCUUUGUUCAAAAAAUGGCUUAAGUUUAAANNNNNNNNNNNNNNNNNNNNNNNNNNNNNNNNNNNNNNNNNNNNNNNNNNNNNNNNNNNNNNNNNNNNNNNNNNNNNNNNNNNNNNNNNNNNNNNNNNNNNNNNNNNNUGGUCCCUCCGGAAUGCGGUGAUUUUUUCGACCACCUCCAAAUCACCCAAAUUUUGGCACACAUGAUCUUUUGCACAAACAAAGCUAGGUUUCCAAGGUUUUAUAUUUUUUUAAAUUUUUUUGAAUUUAUACUGCCCUCUAGACUGACUGAUCAUAACAUCGGUCUAUACCUCAAGGGGGCAUUGUAAAAUAUAUUUUUCCAAAUUUUCUUUCAUAGACAUGUUUGGCACAUGUGGGUCACCGUGUCAUAGAAAAUUUGGGUGAUUUAGAGGUGGUGGAAAAAAUCACCUUUGUUCAAAAAAUGGCUUAAGUUAGACCAAAUGGUCCCUCCGGAAUUUGGUGAUUUUUUUGACCACCUCCAAAUCACCCAAAUUUUGGCACACAUGAUCUCUUGCACAAACAAAGCUAGGUAAGUAAGUGAGCAUGUGUUAAAUUUUGUUGACUAAUUUCAAUAUGAAUGCAAAAAAAAUGCACACCUACCAUACCAGAGGCAGCAAUUUUCAUACACCACGGCCUGUAUACGACUAGGAACCCAACAGUUUAUGGGCCAGGAUACAGGCCUGGGGUGCAGAUUACUCUUCUGCUGGUGGGGCCAACUGGGCAAAGAGCAUGAAACAUUAGGCAAAGUACUGCCUGCAUAUGAGAGGAGCUUGAGUGGGGAGGCACAGCCGGGUAUAUAAGCUGGUGCGUCUCCCUCUCGCUCGGCGAGGUGGGACUAAACUCCCACCACCGUCUGCUUUGCCCUGGUGCGCCCACGCGAUGGGCCAGAUUAGAUGGGCUUUCACAGGCCAGCCUAUCUCGCGUGCUGGACCACACGUGGGUCUAGAUGUCUAGGCUGGUCCAUGCUUUUCCUUUUGUUUAUUUUUUUCUUUUUCCUUUUGUUUACAUAAAAAUUACCUGACCACUCAAAAAAUAACAUCUUACAUCUUAUUUCAAAUUCUCUUUUUUGUGAUAUUUGGUUUGCAUUUUCUAUAAAUCCUAAAAAAUACAUCAGUCAUCCUUGCUCUCCAAUUGAAGAAUAUAUAGGAUGAAUACAGAUGAUUAAUCAUACUCAUCCUACAUAUCCUCCACGUAGAGUGCAAGGAAGACCAACGCUUGUGAUAAUCAAAUUGAUGAAGGUAUUUAAGCCGGUGCAACACUUGCUCGGGGGGCGAGGUGGGACUAAAAAUAUUAAGACGUGAUCCUGGCUCGAGAUCGGCGCGACGUGGGCCAGCCCGCCCUGAAUUGCUUGAAUGGGUCGGGCUUUGGGGGAGGAGGCGUGGCGGACGUGGGAAACCUACAUGCAUGCAUGGAACUGCACAACAGGCGGAUCGCGCGGGAUUAUCGAACUGGGCCCGAUAGGCGUACAUGUGCGGGGCCCGCAUAUAUUAAUUCGGUCAGCCUGUCUCCGGGUGACGACGCGCGGGCGUGCGACAACCCUUUCUCGUGCGCUUUGGCGGGGAUCCGCCUGCGCUUCGAUGCGCCCUGACACCGCACCAAUCCCGGAGCAGAUCUCCUCAGGUCUGACUCCGCGGAUCCCGAGGAUGAUUCGCCAGCAAUUUUGUCACUUUGUGCCACAUAAAAUGUCCGUUUGGUUUAUUUCUUGCAUCGUUUUGCAGCAAAUUUUUUUCAUUCGCAUUUGUACAUGAUCCUGCAGCACCUGCUCAUUAACAACUACUCCCUCCGUUCGUAAAUAUAAGUCUUUUUUGAGAUUUUAGUAUGAAAUACAUACGGAGCAAAAUGAGUGAAUCUACACUCUAAAAUACGUCUAUAUACAUACGUAUGUAGUUCAUACUGAAAUAUCUUAAAAAACAUAUAGUAUUUAGGAACGGACGGAGUGUACAGUUGGGUAUAAACACAUGCAUGUCGCGUCGGAAAUGGAAAUCACAUUCUAGCAAAAAUGUUGUUACAAGACCUCCAUCGUGAAUGAAUUGUUCCAUAACAGCAAACAUUCGUGAAAAACCAAAAAAUGUUGUCUCCAGCUUAAAACAUUUAAAAUAACAUUAGCCCUCCUACGGAAGCUCAUCUCCGGUGCCAAAAUCCAGUGACUUCUUCGUAUUGGUCGUUGGAGUUUGCGCCAGGAUUUGCGACGACCCACCUUCUCCAAUAUUUUUACACGGUACAUCAAUGUAACCUAAGGAGUUAAGUUGUUCCUUUGCCUCAAGCUCUCUAGCCAGAGCCUCCUCAUGCUGCAAGUCUUGGAUGCGCAGUUCGUGUAAAAUCAUACUAACGUAUUAGGACAAACUUAAGGAUGAUGAAGCCGUAAAAUUGAUGUAACAUGAAGAAUAGGAACCUCUGAAUCCAUGUCCGACCACCACUCAUAAUCAUCUUUCGGUGGACGAUUAUACACCAAAUACAAAUGACAUGUCUUGCUGCUGUUCAGGCGGGAAAUCAUCUUUGCAAAAUCACCUGGUCCUGAAAUCAGGAACAUUCCUUCCGGUAGGUUGCACGCAUGCUCAGGUAAGAAGUGGUACAAAUCUGAAUCCUUUUUAUAACCAUAUCCAGCCACUUCUUUCAUGAGAAAAUCAUAGUCCAAUACGCCAGGUUCAAACAAUCUCAUCUCAAUGGGUCUUUCGUCAAAGUAUCCUGUCGGGACAUGCGAAAGCUCACAAUCCCUAUGAAUGUAAAAUUCCAUUACCAGCACCUACAUACGAGUAUCUCACGUCAAAUUUAAUACAUUGCAAUCACCAAAGUUCCAUAAAUAAUUUUUUAUGUGCGUAGCAACAUCGCGACAAAGUUACCUUAUUAUUAUAUGGGAUGUAAACUUCAUCUGCGAGGAUUCGGGAUUGUUCCGUCACUGGAUGCUUAGCCUACGUAUGAAUCGCCGACAUAGAGUUACACACGAAUUAAAUAUGGUCAUACAAAAUGUUGGACGUGAAUGUUUACCAUGGGUGCGAGGUACUUACAGGUGGAGACUUGAAGACAUGUUCUUCGAGUGGAGAACUGUGGCAUUCAUGGGUGAUACCGACAUCACUAGGCCUUUAGUGUUUGGAGAUUGUGCCGCGUAACGCUUCUUGGACUGCAUAUGAAUAGCUUACACAAAGUUACUCACAAAAAAACUAUUAAUACACAAUAUCGGUCAUGAUCGUGACUGAAUAGCAUCGUUGCAAGGUACUCACAGGGGGAGUACUGAAGACAUGCUCUUGCGGUUGACUGCUGUGGCAUUGAACGUGGGAUUGAAACAUCGCACGGUCUUCCAGGAUCUUUCCUUCCAUCAUGACCUGCUCCACCAUAGCCUUGUAGUCCAUGUCCUUGCGCUCCUGUUGCAGCCUAAUGUCCAUAUUGGCACGUGCCUGCAACACAUUCGCGUCCAUGUUGACACGCUCUGUCUGUAUAAGGCCGUCGACAACCUUCCGGUCCUUUUGCAAUUUAAGCUGCAUCUCCUUCUACGCCAGCUAGAAUUUCUUUUCCAUGGCCUCGCGGUCCUGAUUUAACUUUUUUUCCAUCUCUUCACGCAUCUGCUUAAUCUUCUGAGACAUAUCAGCACGCUCAUCCUUAAGCAUCCUAUCGACAUACGCACGUUAUUGUUUGAGUGCGCUGUCCAUCUCAUCACGUUCGUGUUGGACCUUCGCGUCGAUCUCCCGGCGGGCUUCACGCAACAACCUGUCGUACUCCGCACGCUUAUUGCCAUGCACAUGUGAAUCCAUGGUGCCUACAACACCAGAUAGUAGAAUGCGAUUAAUGAGAUCCAGAUUGUCAAAAUAUAGCGAUUCUCACUAAAACACAGGACUAUUUAAAUACCUCGUAAUAUAGAAUAGCAUGGUAUGUGUGAGACAAACUGAGUCAUGAAUUUCCAGCAAACGCUCUAAUCUCCUAAAAUUCGUAUUCCUAAUUUGGUAUGAACAACCUCAUCCAAAUCAGUCCUAAAUAAUCCAGCAACUCCUUCAACAGCACCUCCUUUACUGUAGUAUUGAGAACAAGUCUUUGUACGCCACAUCUAAGUGGCUAAAUCAAACAUCAUCCAAAUCAUUCCUACUAAUGGAACAUAGCCUAAAGGUCUUGUAAAGAAAAUCCAACGACAAAAAAAAAAUAUCCAUAACUAGACCGUAUGAUCAGGAUCCCCUAACAACCAAUCGCAAAGCUCUUGCAUAAAAUUCUUCACUCCAACCUUAUGCAAAUCAUUCAUAGUAAUCCAGUAUAGCAGAAAGGGCUAGAAAAUUAGCUCCACCAACAUAAUAUUUUCGUAACCAGAUCGUAUUAUGAACUACUGUGAACUUGCAAUCACAUCUAAUCUCAUAACGGCCUUUACUCCAAGUAAAGAGAAGCACACACAAUCUUGCACCAAAAUAGCACCUUCGACGAAAAACUAAUCCGCCAGGAACAAAUACCAAAGAUCUUGCACACAAAUAUGGCAUCUCUAAUCUCAUCACAACCUCCUUUUCAGUCCAAUCGACGGAAAAAGUAUGAACGUUUCAAGAGAUGGGAGGAGAUGUGGAGGAUGAUACCUUUUUCUUUUUACUCGGCCGUCGGCGUGGGCUUCCGCGGAGCGAUGGCGAUUAUCCCAGCGACGGCUACCUCUGGACACCAAAACUUUCUGGGCGGUUAAGGAAGGAGCGAUAUGCGGAAAGAAAAGAUGGGAGGGAUAUGCGGUACGAUGGAAGGGUACAUAUCUCCCGUGAUAUCUGACGAUAUAUUUACAAGUAAUGCGAUGGAUGGUCCGUCCGUGAUUUUAGGGUGGGUUAGUCGGUUGGAAGAUUUGUUAGUUAGCCUAUUUAGAGGGAGCACGAUGCUCUGGUUCUGGUGUUAGGGUUUGUUAGCCCAGCGGAGGAGUCCCUAGUUCUUCUCUUACCCAAAGGAUUACGACCACCGUCUGUUAUUGCCGCAGUCGCCUGACACCAAAUCAACCAUGUCGCCGUCGAGCUUGAUUAGGUGCGCGCUGAGGGGCCGAUCAGUUGAUGUGCCCCUGAUCCCUUGCCCUGACUAUGGCGAAAUGGUUAGAUUCUAUCUCUCCAGUACCGAAGAGCAUGAUGGUUGGGUGUUCUACAAGUGCAAGCACCACGAUGUACAAUCCCUUUACAUGACAUUUACUGCAUGAGUAAUUUUUUCUACUGUUUCGUUAGUGCUGGUUUGAUUUGAGUUCACUUGAUUCAUAGAAUCCAUGUGAUUUCUGGCACUGGGAACUAGAGUACGUGGAUCAUCUUGUUGGUACAAGUGUCCUUGUUGGUGCUUAUGCCCUUGAUGCAAUGGCUGUGGCACAGGAUAGAAGGGAACAGCUACAACGCGCAAAAAAACAGUGUGAAAAGAAUGCAUGUGCCAAGAGUGGCAACAUUGGCGGCAGGACAAAUUACAGUCAGAGCAAUGUGGCAACCAUUACGAAGCACCAAGCUUAUACGAUGUUAGGACUAGGGAGACAAAUUGUUUUCAUGCUGAAGCUGUUGACGGCUAGUGUAAUGGUGUUGUGUGUGUUGUGUGUGAUGUUGAUUGUGAAGAAAUAAUAUAUUUGUGAUCGUAUCAAGGCGAUUAUCAUGGUCACAUGUAAUAAUAGCUUAAUAAGAAGAGGUGUUCUAACAUGAUACCUCUUACACCCCCGGCCCCACCCUUCUUUUAACAUGACAGGUAAGAGUAAGAAAUAAAUCUUACACGAUGAUUGCAUGAAAUAGUUGUUUUGAUUAUUUCUUACCUUCUUGACUAUUAUGAGAAAAUAAGGGGCAAGACGGAGCAUGUUAAAAUUGCUAAAAAAUAAUGAAUAAACCGAGUUGCAAUGAAGGCAAUCGAAUGGAAAAACGUAAACGACCAUUUAAAUUCUUGCCCACUAUGUUGUGCACGAACACAAGAGUACCAUGAUAUAAAAAUAAAGUACGCCAUUACAGCAAUGACUUAAAAAUCCCUUAAUUUAUUUUAUCACACUACGUUUUGCCAAAACUACUCUAGAGGCACAUCAGGAACAUGGGAAACAAACAGAUAGAUCCCAUGAUCUCCCAGGUACAGCAACAUCAGCACCUUCUGUCCUAACAGCAAGAUUUUUUCCUUCUUCAUGAACUCGUUCCAUUUGUUAACGCAGACACGACCGUCAAUAUCAGAAAUGGUGUAUGUACUUGACAUAGUACUGUGUGGAUGACAAACAAUGGUUAUGGCACCAUAUUCCUCCAUUUCUUCGGGGACAACACGAUUAGGCAGUUUCUGUUUGAAAACAAUAUUUGUUACAUCAACACGUGGCAACUUAUUGUUAUGUAGUAAAGGAAGAACAAUUAAUUUGGAACAAAGCUAAAAACAUACUGAAAUGACACAAAGUAAAUGAAGAACAGAAAGAUGGUUACCGAGAAGUUCUUGUUGCAAUCUGACCAUGUCAACGUAUGGAGGAAUGCAUAUGCUCUUCCUUGAUCAUAGUUUCCAGCAUCAUGACGCUCCACUAACUUGUCAAGGUCCAUCACUUGGCGUAUGACAUACUCCAUCAUUCUCUAGUUCAAGCUUGUCCCCUCAGUUACAGCGACAUUGUCAAUAAUAUAUCUUUUCUCAUUGGACAAUUGGUAGUAUGCUACAAUAUUAUAGCACAUACAAUUUAAUUUAUUAUAUAUGGUAUAUGAUAAAUUUAGAGUAAUAAAACUUGCAGGAGCAAAAAAGUAUCUUACUCGGAUGUAUGAUAGGCAAAUUCCCAGUCGUCACAAUGCUACUUGGUACUUCUGAAUUGUCAGUACUGAACGUAAUCUCCUGACCCACAUGUAGCGUAUAAACUCUAACAAAUUCCUUCCAAGACUCCCCUGAAAUGUAUGUCAACUCAUUGUCAUUGGUAAUCUCACAUGGGAAUUCAAACCCCUCAUUGGUACUGAAACUUGCUUCGAAGUUCCCAUAUUUUCCCAAGGGCACUCCAAAUUUCUGCGUGAAACUAUAUCUGUCGUAGCAGGGGAUUACCUGAGUAGCAUAUGUACGAUUGUUAAUAUAUAUGAACUGCCUGUUAAUCUAAAGAAUUUGUCCAAUCAUAGAUGACUAGCAUAGUAUAGUUCACUACUUCUUAGCAGUAUUAUCAUAUAACCCCAUAGAAGAUUUAAAUUUACAUGCACGUACACAAAACCAUUUUAUCAUCUAAGAAAUCAACAUGCAAUAUAACUCUUUUUGCAGUAAACAUUACGAACAACUGACUGAGUACAAAGGGUCCGAGUACAAUAUUCGUUCAAUAUUAGUGCCUCCGUCCAAAAAUUUGUGGACAAAUUUUUGUACAUACGGAUGUAUCUAUGCAGAAAACAUGACUAGAUACAUGCGUAUCUACAUGAAUCUAACACAUUAAUUUGGGAUUGGACGGAGUACUAAAUUUCUCAUGAUAUUUGCUACGGGUCAUGUCAGACUGGAUCUUACUGUCUUGUUUGCAAAUCCCGUGCGCAGGGUGACGGUACAAAACUCCUUCAUACGAUGCUCACCGGGGCACAAACCCUUGGUGUCCAAACAAAUGCCACACUGCGAAUCGAGAUCAAUCUCAUUACUAGUACGUACAGUCUUAAAGAUUAGUGCUAGCAGUUGAAUUCAGAUCUGACAGAUUCUAUGGUGCAAAUACGUACCGCACUGAUCUCCUUAACCAUUUUCGCUCGAGAGAGGGACGUGAGGAGGAGGGGCGAAAAGAGCAGUCACUUCCGACCCCUAAGCUGACGAUGGCGGCGGCGGCGGCGUCCGGAGAUUUCGAAAAGCGCGUACGCCCGGCGUUUCCGAUCUUAUAUUGGAGCGGUCGUGGCGGUGGUAGGAGGCCCCGAUGCCACGGGUGGUUAGGAGGAAGGCGGUGCAAUCACGGGAUUUCGGGAGAGGUGGCGUGCGUGAGUUAUGGGAUCUUUUAACAUAUAUCAUCAAGAUAAAAAAAGAACAUUAUGUUGUGCUAAAAAAUACAUUUCAUAAGGGUGAACUAGGUUUUUGGUUCGAAAGAAGUUUGAACGAUAUAUAAUUGCAAAAUUGGCCUUGUCCAGUUUCCAAAUAAGUUUCACAACUAUACAUGCCAUGACCAAUGCAACAAGCAUGCAAAAUGGUUUUUAGUUUAGCGAAGUUUUUCAUUUUCGGACGAAAAUGCCCGAAUGUGGCCGCACGUGACAACACUUGCAAUCAUUGUCGAAAAUGGUUCAAACUAGGCAUGGAGGCGUACAAUGGCCAUGAAUUGUCACCGCAAAAAAGUUUGGUUGACUUAAGAUAUGUGAACAAACCAUCGAGCAUUUUCGGAGGGUGCCAGGCUAGCCCGGAAGGGCGAGUCCGGGAGCACCUCCAUGUUAACACCACAUACAAAUGAUUCCAACUUUUUUUCAUGCCCUCCCAUGAGAAAAUCAAGCAAACAUGCAAAUAUGGUUCUCAGUUUCGACAACUUCUCCAUGUAUUGGGAUUUAUUUAUAUCGAAAAUGCCCGAAAACUGGCCCCACGUGACAUUAGUUGCAAACUUUACUAAGAAUACUUCAAACUUGGCAUGGAGGACUAACAUGACCAUGAGUUGUUACCCCAAAAUUUUUGUGUUGAUUCAAGAAAGGUCAACAAACCAACAUGUGUCUUCUCAGAGGAUGCCAUGUUAGCCCAAAGGAAGGGCGCGUAUUGGAGCAACUCCGUGUUUACAAUAUCCACAAAUGAUGCCAACUUUAUUUCAUGAUCUCCCAUGAGAAAAUCAAUAAUGCAUUCACAAUGGUUUUUAAUUUGUCCAACAUUUAUAAUCCUUCUGCAAUUUCGAAGCGAAAAAGAAACAUCGCCUGCAUGGUCUACCCCCCUAGCCACACAUCGAAAGGAGGGGGCACAUGAUGCAUUACACUUUGUUUGUCUUAUGGUGGACCUAGUUGACACACCAAGCCUAGUUGGAUCAUUGGCCUACACCGGAUUCCAUGUCGUAUGAAAGCUCGGGCACAUCAACUGCUCCCGUCUAGAACCUUCGAACUGCACUGUCCACUUUGUGAAGCAAGUACAACAUGAAAUUUGUAUUCUCCCAAGCUUUUAAAGUACAUCUCAUGACAAAAUCAAGCAAGCAUGCAAAAAUGCUAUUCAGUUUACACAAAAUUUUGCAUGUACGGUAAUUUUUUCGGCCGAAAAUACUCAAAAACUGGCCACACGUGAAUCAUAUUGCAAACUUUACAAAAAAAUGGUUCAAACAUGGCCUUCAAUAGUCACCCCAAAAAGCUGGGUCGAUUUCAUACAGGUCAGGAUAGUACUAUAGCAUCUGCUAUCAAAGGGCGCCAGGCUCGGCCGGAAGGGCUUGUGUCGGGGAACCUCCAUGUUCACACCAUCUUUAUAUUUUGUCAAAUAUAUUUCAUGGCCUCCCAUGACCAAAUGAAGCAUGCAUGCACAAUGGUUGUAAGUUUCUACUAGAUUUUCCAUUUUCUUCCAUUUUUCGGUCAUAAAUGCUCGAAAAGUGGCCGCAAUUGCCAAAACUUGCAAAUUUUGCUGAAACUCAUUUUGAUGUUGUCCUGGAAGCCUGUAAUGUAACAUUUUCCAUUGCAUAUCAUAACUUGGGUUCAUUCCACAUGAAGCAUGAUCUACUUGGUUUGUACAUUCGACAGUGUAGCACGAAGGUUCUCGACGGAGGCAGUGCGUGUACUGCAUUGACUCCAUGGAUGGAAUCUAGUUUGAACCAAUGUUCGCACUUGGUAUGGUGUCAAUUAGGUCUAACCUUAGGCAAUAAAGCUUGAAGGUAUCAUGUGCUACCACUUUCGAUGGUUGUCUACGGGUAGACCGUCUGGGAGGUGAAAAAAAUCAUGAAAAUCAUGUGUAACCUUGAACGCACUGUGCAUGCAUGCUUGAUUUGGUUCAUGGGAUGGCAUCAAAAUAACUUGGAAUCCUAUGUACAUGGUGUAUUGAAAGAGGUGGCCCGAGACGGGCCCUUCUGGGCUAUACUUGUACCCUCCGAAAGCACAUGUUGGUUUAUUGACCUAUAUUAAAUGAUCGCCAAGUUUGUAUCGUUACAAUCCAUGGCCAUGUUAGGGAUACAUAUGCCAAGUUUGAACCAUUUUCAUCUAAGUUUGAAAGUUUUUUCAUGUGUAAAUCUUAGUCCAAACUUAGAAGCAUUUCGCAUGGCAGCUUGUUUUGGUCAUGGGAUUCCAUGGGAAUUAGUACACAUCAUUUUGUAUUGUAGAUGAUCUAAUAAACAUGGGGGUGCCCCCAAACACGCCCUUGUGGCCUUGACUGGCACCUCCGAAAUCACAUGCUGGUUUGUUGACCUACCUGAAAUCAACCCAACUUUGCAGGGUUGCAAGCCAUGGUAAUUAUUGGGGUACUUUCAAAUUUCAACCAUUUUCAGCGAAGUUGCAAGUUUAGUCAUGUACGGCCAAUUUCCGGGCAUUUUCAGAACAAACAACAUAUUUUACCACUUCAAAAAUGCAUUCCUUUCUCGACGGCACAUUUGUUUUUUCUUCGGAACAUUACAUUUGUUUUGGCCAAUUACAUGCUAAUGUUUCAACCUCCCAUAACUCACGCCGCCCAGAUCUCCCGAAAUCCCACGAUUACAACUCCUCCCUCGUAACCACCCGCAGCAUCGAGGUCCCCUACCACCUCCCACGACUGCUGCAAGAUCAGAUUGUAGCCGCCGCUCGCCGCCCGCCGCCCACCGCCAACGUCGCCUGAGGGGUCGGACGGGAGUGGUGUUGUCGCCGCCUACUACGCGCGUCAACGCGCCGCUGCUCCUGUUGCUGCCAUCGAGCGCCACACAUCGACAUCUAGUGUGGGAUGCACUAUCCGCGUGGAGCAUUGGGCCGCCACCGCCGACGACAGAAGGUUACAUGAUCAUAGCUCUUUUUAAUCUUUCUCAGACACGCACGUCUACUAGUAAAGCCCUAAUAGGUUUCCCACAAGUUAUUCCAGUCGUCAAGAUUACCUGAUCAUAGCUCUCAUUAAUAACUAUCUUGUAAUCAAUCUUGGCACACUACACGAACGUCCAAAGAGGUAAUACCACAACAAGGGUAUCUCUUUCAUGAAAUAACACGUCGUAUGUUUAUGCAAUCCCAAAACCCUAGUUGAACUGUCCCAAUGUUAUGCAUGACCAAAAUCUGUAGUGUGCUUAAAGUUACAUGUAGUUCAUAUUAUUUAAUAAACUCAUCCGUGCCUGCGUAUAAGAUUUUAUUUUUGUUACACAUUUCUCAACGUGAAGGUCAAAUAACUUGAACCGGUUUUGCUUCUGUUCCAUAGGCGCCAGUAAAAUGGAAACUACUGUUAAAAGUCCUGCUAAUGGAGAAAAACACGUCUCCGAAAUGACCGAUGAGGUACGUAGUUGACAUUUCGUUUGAAAACUGUACUUGCAGACCCUUCUUUCAUACCCGAUAAACUCUAUUGCCACUUUUGCAGGAAAUCUUGAGGAAACACGGCCAUAUGAAGUUAGUGUGCUCACCGUCAAGGCUCGCCAAGGUCAUGAAAUUGUUGUCAUCAAUACACAUAGAGAAAAUCAUAAGCGAUACCGGUCUUGGGUGUCUAAACAUGAUUCGUGAAUUUAAACUCCGGCGCAUUAUGUUGAUAAGACUAGCAAAGAGCUUCGAUAGUGAGACAUCGUCGAUUACCAUAGGUAAAACACCCAUUCCUAUCACCGCAGAAGACGUGCACCAUAUAUUUGGCCUUGCGAUAGAAGGGGAGGAUAUCAAUAAAAAGCUGGAAAGCGCACCGGAUCCAAAUUUGUUUAACACAUUUCAAAAAAAUGGGAGCAUUGAUUUGGCUGACCUUGAGAGAGAGAUCUUAAGUUCCAAAACACCGAACAAUGAUUUCCUGGCGCGGUUCGUUCUAUUCGCUAUUGGCACAGUUUUAGCACCAACAACACAAUCUUAUGUCGAUGCGAAAUACCUUAAACUUGUUGCGGAUAUUAAAAGCCUUCCGAGAUUGAACUGGGGAUGUUUCACAAUGAAACACUUGUUCAUGUCCAUACACAAAUUUAACUCUCUUGAUCAAGUAUCUCUACAGGGAAAUCUACCUCUGCUUCAGGUUAGUGCAACAUCACUAGUUAACAUUGUACAAUUGUUUUUCUUUUCUAUAUCUCUCUAUAUUGAUGAAGUAAUUUAUUGUGAAGAUUUGGUACUGGGAGCACCCGCGUUCUGGCAAAUUGAUGUAUACUCCUAUACCCCCACCAUUGGUCGCACGAUGGGACGAAUGCACGUGCGUAAUAAGAGCAGAAGCUUACACCUCAGGAGGUCUUCAUAAAGGACUGGUGUGUUUCUAGAUUUGACCCAUGUAUAUAUCCGGUUAUUUAUUUUCUACUACUGAUUCAUUGUACCUGAUUCAAAGGUUGUGAUGGAAAUUUGUGCUCGACAACCAGAGGCCAACAAUAGAAAGGAUCCAGGAAGCCAAAAAUUUGUACGUGUGCAUGAAGGUGAUUCAUCUCGAGCACAAUCACAAGGUCAAAAUAUGAGUAGCCACCAAGUAAGCCCAACAAAGACAAUUUUCAUUUUCCAAGAUCAGUAAAAGGUCGCAUCGAAACUCAUUCAUUUUGAUUUCUUGUGAACGGGGUGUUAUUUAGUUUGCACAGGUGGAAAUGAUAGUUGCAACCCUGAAUGCACGUUGUGCUGAGCAAGAAAAGAAUAUAGGCAGACAGUUAAUGGAAUUUCAGCAUAGAUUUGACGUGAAAUUCCUCACCCUGAGCGAAGAGUUAAUCGACAUUAAGAGUAAAUCUGGCAGUAAUCCUAGGCUCUCGCUGCUCGAGGACGAAAUUAAGGACUUAAGGAGGGAACUAAAGGUAUGUCAUGCUGUGCAUUUUUUAUUGUUACGAAUAUGUUCCUCCAUAUUCAUUAUUGUUAUAAUUGUUACAGGAAUUAAAAAACAAAAGUAAAGUCAGCCGACAAUCCGAGUCACAGAAAGCAGGCGUCGAGGUAAUAAUUAUGGCCCACCACAUAAGUAGUAUUACCAAACUAAUUAUAAUUGACCAUUUUUUGUUGUUGUAGGGACAAGUCAAUGUGUGCAGUGAUCCCUUCAUGGCGACUCCUAAGUUUGACGCAUCCACGCCACGUACUUCGACUCCAACACCAAGUGCGAGACACGUCUUGCCAAACAAGGACGAUCCUCGAAUCACACCGAUGAAGCCUCUGUUUGAUAAUGAUUAUGUGCUCACCGCUGAGGACAAAGAGGCAGCCAUUUUCAUCCGGGGAACACACGGCCCUGUUGAAGUCGUUCAAAUCGGAGACAUUCCCCUAAGAGCGGAACAACUGAAGCCAAUUUACGAUAAAAAAUACAUCUGUGGUGAUGUAAGCCCCUUGUACUCCAUUGUACAUCAACUAUUUGAACUGUUGGCACAUCAUUAUAUGAUUACAAAUUUGGCAGGUUAUAAUGGCGUAUGCUCACAUCAGCGGAGUUGAGACUGAUACUACCUCAGCCAUAUCCCCCAAUGAAACCAAAAAGCUUUUACAAACAAAAGGGGUUAUUCCAAAGGGCCAUGGAAGCUCGUGGGUUCAGCGUAUUGCAAAUAAAUUUGUAGGACGCCGGAAGGUAACCGUUUUCCUCACUUUCAUAUAUCGUAAUAGAUAGUGUAGAUGAAAUAUUUCAGGGGUCCCCCGAACCAUAAUUGUUACCUUAUAUACAUUAUUUCGUGGAAUGAGUCCUCUUUGACUUUACGGCAGUUCCACAUCCCGUUGAAUGUGAAUGAUAACCACUGGAUGGCAAUGGUGUUCAAUUUCGACAAAGAAGAGAUUCAAAUCCUAAACUCCUUGAAAAAUCAAUUUGACGAGUCCAAGGAAACUGCUCUUGUAAGCUUUAUCUUGCUGCCUCUUUACUGUCGCAUGGCACAUGAACUCCCAAAUCACCGUAACCCUUCGUAAUACUCGUAUUAUGCUAGGUGGAGGCGAUUCAGGCCUGCAUGGACGAAGCGGUGAAGGAUGGCUUGGUAACACCAGCUAAGCCCAUCAAAUUUACCGACUGUGAUGUAGUACGCUAUGACGAUAUACCGCAACAGAAUGACGGUACGUAUGACCUCCUAAAUUAUUCCUUGCUGACACGUCCAAGUUUACUAAAACCUAAACUAAACACUGCAGGCAUUCAUGUGCGUUUUUCACACUGAAGUACAUGUUGACAUGGAAGGGUGAAGUAUUUACCGACAAAGUGGAGCAGGUGAGCCAAACACUAUAUUUUCUUGUAGAAUAUCUUAUGACUGAAUGCUGUGCUGACAUAUGUGUCGCUUAUCAAAUGUAGUCACAGAUAGAUAUAUUUAGCUGGAAAAUAGUUUCAAGCUUGCCGCGUUCAGAUUGCAACAAUCUUCGCAUGGAAACAUACAAGUACCCCAUAACGGUUAGCGAAAAAGCGCGAAUAUUUUAUUUUAUUCAUAUGUGUCAUGAUGCUACCGAAUGCACUCAUGUCUGCUUUACAGGCGGAGACGUAUGAAACCCACGUUGCAUUGCAACCUAUGGGUUCAGAAGACGAUGUCCAAGAAAUUAUCGGUACUGUUGAGUGCAAGAUGUCAGACACGUCGAGCUCCCCAAAGGAUCCCGACACCCCGAGCUCCCCAAAAAAGCGGAGAGGACGUGGACGCCCGAGGAAGCUUGUCGAUGAAGUGCAAGCUAAAAAAACAAAAACUAUGGAAGAGCUCAGAGUGAAAUUUGAUAGCAAGACCAUUGCUAAACAAGUGGCUUCUUCGAUGUCAAGACGAUCACGCAAGCCAUCACAAGCUAUAUCGAGCCCAUUCAAGUUAACCAAAUGGUAGUUUAGGUACGUACUGGGUAGCACUUUAGUUAGCACUAGUUAUGAUACAUUUGUCAUUUACGAUUUGGUGAUUGAACUUUAUCAAACCUGCAUCGACGAGCGGUGAAAGAUGGCUUGCUAACACCAGCUAAGACCGUAAAAAGUAGGGUAUGAUAACAUACCACAAUAUAGCAAUCUCUGCUGUCGCAGUACAUACUUUUGGCAAUCACGAACAUUAUGUAAUUUUGGCAAUUAGGGAUGCAUGCUCAGUUCUUUUGGUUGAACUGCUAAUAGGUCAUUCUGCCAAUCAUUUGCAUGAUGUACUUUUGGCAAUAUCUUAUAGUACAACCUAAGUGCAUGUCAAAAAGUGGCAAUAGGUACUUUUGGCAAUCAUGUGCAUGCUACAUUUCUGGCAAUUACUAAUGCAUGCUCAUUUGUUUUGCUUCAAAUGGUAGUAUGUACUCCUGGCAAACAUUUGUGUGCUCUACUUUUGGCAGCUAUUAAUACAAGCUCAUUUAUAAUGGUUUAACUGUCCAUAGAAAUAACUUGAAUGUCAUUAUUUCUAAGCAUACCAAAUUCAGUGCAAGAUAUAGCAUUAGCAUCUUCAGUUAGAGUCAUAACAUAUAUGUACCAUAUAUCACCAUAGUGGAGGUAUUAGGCAAGGUUGACCGCAAUGCACUUAGGGUAGGUGCUAACAAGAUAAACAAUAGUUUAAUGAAGCAACGACACUUAUUAGAACAGGGUAGACGCUUAAUUAGGUGCCAAUCAUGUACAAAUUGGCACUGCUGCUUCAGAAAACCAUGUUUAUUAUUGUUAGCAUGUACCUAAGCACGUAGCAUUGGAAGUUGGCCAUUACCAGAAAUGAGCAAUGUACUACCAAGCACUUAACAUAGCAUGUUAAAUAGUCAGAACCCGAAAGAUAAACCGGCGCAUAAGUUCAAGCAGUACGAUGGGGCAGAAGUAUCACACGACAACCAUAACAUAAAAACAGUCUUAACUAGGGUGGGCCAGCAGUAACAACCAAGCAGCGCAUCAGAUCCUCAGCAUCUUGGCCGGACGAGGAGGCCUCGGGAGGUAGAAUGGCAGAUGCCCCUUCGCGUACUUCCUGAGGAAGGCACCAAAAGCGGCAUGUUUAGCCCGGACGUGGGGCUUGCGGUUCCUCCCAUUACCACGGCCGAUAUAGGUGCCAUGCAUGAUCAGGCUGUCGUAGUCGCUCUUGAUAAUCGCACAGCAGAAGGGGCAGGCUAUGUUGCCGUAGAGCCUGUUGUAUCCGCUGCGGUAUGGGAUUUCCCCAUUUCGCAACCUCCUGAGGACGUAGCGGCUCUUGCUGUCCCUGCUCUCCUUACUAUCAUCCACGUCUUCGUCAUCUUCCUGUGUGUUAGUUGAUCGACAGCUAUGUCAGAUUAGGAAUACAGAAAUGUAGCAUUUCAUAAGAGUAUUAAGUACAUCCCUAAAGUAGGAAUACAAAAAUAUGAUCAAUCAGAUGAUUCACACAACAUGUACCUCAUGUAUUACAAUAUAUGUUUAUGUAUUAUUUGUUAUCUUUCUUGUUCUUUUUUCUUUGCUUUGCAUGCGUAGCUGUUCUCCCCUCUAAAGCACUCCUAUUUGUACAAUCUAAGUUGACAAUUAACUAAAGUGUUCAGGUUUUACGGUAUGAACAAAUCACUUUACUGCAUUCAAGCACAUAUUUUAGUUCAUACUGAAAAUAGAUAAUUCCAAAAACAGGAUCAUUUCUUGCCAUUUCUUGCAACAAUAUGUUGUAUGAUCUGGUUUUAUCAUAAAGAGAUACCAAACAAUAUCUAAUUUAAUGAUAUUCAAACUAGAUGAGUACAUACUACAAAGUAAAACUACCGCAUCAACAAACAAAAGAUUGCCCUCACUUGAUAUUUUGAAGACAACAAAACAUAUGAAUGAGGUCAUGAAUUAUGUAUAAAAAAGAGAAAUUUUGGAUUGAGGUACAUCGGUUGCGAACAUAAGAAAUUAUGGCUUUAAUUACUCAUCCUUGUUGCUAAUAAUUACAUAGGGUGCGUACAUAAGAAACUCUGCAAUGAAUUACUGACUGCAAUCAGAAAAUGUCUUCACAAUAUAGCUGUAUGGCUUCAUGAUUUUCAUCAAAUAAACCAGUUUUUCUGACAACUAAAUAAAUGUACUGUUUACUAGGUCUCAACAGAUUUGGUAAUCAGAUUGAAAAUAAGAUGCAUAGUCCACUUCAUUAUAUGGAAAUCAUGAAGCAGAUAGAAAAAGUUUGCACUGUUAAGGUAAGAAAGAUUCUAUAAGAAAGGAGAAAAUGUGGUAUCAGCUUUGUGCAUAUGGAGCAUUAUGAUUACGCUUAGUAAUGGAAAAUUCUAUAUAGUAAGAAUGCAAUAGAAAAUCUUGUUGCUAGAAAUGUACUGUUGCAUGGACUUGGCAUGCAUGAUUACUGAUGUGGCAUAGUUUCAUGGAUUGAUUUGUGCAAGAGAAGAACUAAUCCAUGUUUGUUGUUAAUGGCAGGCAGUGGCUGUAAAUUGUUACUGCAUGCAUCAGUACUGACCAGAUGCAUGACUCGAUGAUGUGGCCCAGUUUCAUGCAUACCAAAACCAGAUAAUGGGUUGCCACUAUUGAAGAACGGAGCAUAGUUUCAUGAAUAGCAAAACCAGAUAAUGGGUUGCACAAUUGAGGAACAGAGCAUAGUUGUAACAGGGAUUGUACCGAUUUAAACUCUCAGCAUUGAUACUCUUGUUGGUACUAGCGAGGCACACGUGCAUUGGGCAUGAAAGCAACAGUUAAUGUCAAUUAUUUCAGGUCCACUUACAUUGCUAUGCUACUGUAGCAUUGGAUUUUUUGUGUGUUUUCUUUAAUAAAGUGAUAAUGUUUGUGCAUAUUAUGCAUUCAGAUUCACAAAGUUCAAAGCAUUAGCAAUUCAUUUAGAAGAAAAGAGUUUGCUGUCACGACCGGUUUUCCAAUAAAAAUAUUUAUUGAGAAACCGAUCCCUUUUACGGACCAGUGGAGAAGAAUCCUCCUCACUGGUAGACAAUUCUUGUUCACAGAAGAAAAACCAGGAGUACUAAAUAUAUAAUACAAGGUUGAGCGGAGACUGCUCAACAAUUUAUUACAAACACGCCGAUAUUACACAUAAAGGCGGAUAGGGUGGCAUAACUACUGACUCACAAUAAAAGCGGUGGUGGAUAUAUCACAGUGAAGUGGGUGACAUGACUCCUGAAUCUAACAGCUCUUCGAGCGUCAGAGUGAGGUCGAGGAUUCUUAUUGUGGGUGGCAGAAGCGUAUAUAAUACAAGUGACCAAAAUCCAGGAUCGCACGGAACCGACUGGGAUUCCUCUAGGCGUCGGACUCACUAUCAAACUCUUCAUCCAUGAGAUCGCCUUCGUCAACAUCUGGCCAAAUCAAAAAGCCAGGUGAGUACUAUGAAAGUACUCGCAAGACAGUUCGGACAUAAGAUAUAACAAAUGUAAACAUGAUGCAUAUGAACGGAUUAAUAGAGCGCACUCAGACAAUGAGGUAGCAAUGCGUGGGAAAUAAAAGGGAAGUCGGGCGGUAGUCCUCCCGAAAUCCCAAGGUAAUACUGAAGGCCAAUCGAGUGUCUGAAUGACUCCUCGAAAGGAUACAAAUGAAAUAACAAUGCCGCAGUCGGGCGUCAAGGCGACACCACAUAAAGGGCUUAUAAUGGAAUAUAACUGACAGUGCGUGCCACAGUCGGACGUCUGAGCGACAUCACGUAAAGGGCUUAUAUCAAAAGUAAAUAACGGGCGUGCCACAGUCGGACGUCUGAGCGACAUCACAUAAAGGGCUUAUAUUGAAAGCAAAAGACAAGAGUGCCACAGUCGGACGUCUAAGCGACAUCACAUAAAGGGCUUAUAUUGAAAGUAAAUGACAAGAGUGCCACAGUCGGACGUCUAAGCGACAUCACAUAAAGGGGCUUAUAUUUCAUAACUUAAUAUUUCAGUAGCUCAUGAAUUUAAAUCAUUGCAAGGGAAUAUUCAGAUACGAGAUAAAUAAAAGGUUAAUCCAGCCACAGGAAUAACAAUUCAACCGGGUUUACCACUCAAGCUUGUUCACCGGGGAUUUACCACUGAGACUGACAUAGGGACUGACAUGGAUAUGGAUAUACUGGCCAUGGUCCUUGACCUUGGACACGAUGACUCGGAAGGAUUUGACUCUGCAGAGCUUGUACUCUUAACCACAACCAACGGAUUUCAGGAGUCACAAGGGACUAGUUCCGUUUACGGUGUUUUAGGAGAAACACAUCUAACCAGUACACACCCAUUCAACAUUCCGAUGCCAGGAAUCACCCUCGGCAAUGUUCAAGAAAAACUUUGAGACGGGGAGGCUACAACCUCGCAUAGCAUGGGAUCAAAUUUAUACCGCGCGCUCUAAGGGGUGCCCCCCUCUCGGUCCCAACCGGAAACACCCAUGCCCCCUGACCGGAUGACUGGCUUUAAUCCAGGGCAUGGAACCCUCAUCCCGGCCCCUCUAUUUGGUGUGUACAAGGAAAGAGGUUAACAACUUACUAAACCGUAUUCUAUGCAGAAGACAUGUGGCAGCACGAAAGGGGAAGAACGGUAACGUGACUCAGUCCACGUUAACGUCGGAGUUUAUCGGAUGACGUAAGACUGGCAUGCUACAACAAUACCAUCUUACUACCUUUCAUGUCACCACAUGAUCAGGUCAUCUCUCAUCAAAGAUCACACUAACUUCGAACACACGGUUGGUUGCCUUGCAUUGCAACGUAAUACUCACCGAUGCUCACAUGCCAUGCAUAAACCAUUCAAGCAAACAUGCAAAACACCUAUCAUAUCAAAGGUUCAAACAUGCUUGCCUGGUUCGGAGAAGUCGGAGUCUAGCUCGGCGAAGUUCGCGGCUCCGUCACCUCCUCCGGAACCUACGGUAUAACGAAACCGUACACUAACGUGAAAAUCGUCGCGUGUAUAAAAAUUGUUCCAAUUUUUUUCCAAAUAAAUACUAUAAAAAACUAGACAAAAAUACAAGACUGACAGAAAAAGAAUCAAUCAAAAAUCAUCUUUUAUUAAAAAGAUAUAAGGGUUUUAGUCCAGGGACUGAUCUGUGAUGAAACAGAAAAGAUCCAGGGACUUGUUAGAGAAAACAGAAAACAGUUCGGUAUGAAAUGCGCCAGCCCAAGGAGAAAACACAUUUUGCCCGAAGGCGCUUUCAGAAAACGGUUCGAAGGGGGAAAAGAAGAGAGGCUGACGGGGGGUCCCACCCGUCAGGUUUAAAACUCCCAACGGAGCUCGCCGGCGCCCGAAGGCUGCGGUGGUCGCCGGCGUUGAACCACGGCGAGGCAGAGAGAUCGGAGGGUACCAACAGGUUCAGGGUGUUCUUCCGCAUCGGUGGGUGGUGGACUUGGCCGUUGGAGAGCACCACGUCGACGGCGACACUUUCUCCGGCGGACGGUGGUUCGGGCGAUGGUGGAGUACUCCGGUGGGUGCUGCAAGCUUCAAAUUGAUGCGCGGGUCAGAAGAGUGGAAGCAUUAGGAGACUACUGGCAAGAGUUGAGGGGUGGGGGUGCACGCACGGGAGUGAAUCGCGCUGGAUCCCGUGGCGGGUCUAAGCGGCCGGAGUUGGGGAAGAAGGGUCCCUCGGGGCUCUUCCAGUGGCUUGGCGUGGUACUGGUGGUGUGUAGAGGUGGUGCGGGUUCGAGUUCGAGCUCGGGGCCUCCUUUUAUAGGCGAUCCGAGGGGGUGGCCGUGAACGGGAUAGCUCCGGUGAGCAAUUACGGCGAGGCAGAGGUUGGGCAGGGGGUUUAAGCGGCUAGGCACCAUCAGGGACGCUCACUGGUGCCGUUCCCCCACUAAACCUCGGUCGGGCUAGGCGUAAUGCGCUGAUCCUCGACGGGACGGCCGUACGGGCACGGCGGCGGCAGAGAGCGUGCUCCGCGCCUACCAGUUCACGACGACGGACUGCAGCGUGCACGGGUGAGUGGAUGGCCACGCGGUGGCCUCUGGUGGCUUGGGCGGCGCUGGACGGCGCCGUCCAACGCUGCGCCUCUCUCUGGCAGCCGCAAAGGCCGCCGCUGCCGUCGCUCACGGGGUGGCGCACCUCCUCCUGCUCGUCGCCGACGCCCGCAAACCUCCAGGCGAUCGUGCGGCACAGGGAUAAGGAGGAAGCACAGGGCGCACGGCGCCACCGCGGCUACUGGCGAGAUCGAGAACGGGUUCUGAAGAAAACGACAGUGGCUCACUGAAACUGUUUACUGAACUUUCUGAAUUUCGACAGUAACAGUGCACGCCAGGUGCUCGACGAAAUGAUUUGGCAUGAAGAAAUUUUUUCUGGAGCUGGGACUUGGUGGGGUGACCUCUCAAUGCAUCCAGAGGCUGCCUGAAUUUUCUCAGAUUUUUAGGAGGAGAAAACAAUUGAAUUUCAUCAAAUUUGGCAAAUAUGGUCCAAACUUGCAGCAAGCACAAUUUGCAAUUUUUGAACUGGAGACCAGUGGAUCAUCAUGGAUCUUGGUUGAGGGCUCUAAGGACUAGCCAGGGAAAAUGGUUUGGAGGCAAAACUCAAAGGAGAAAAGGUAGUUCCUUUGUAAAUCUCCAAGAGCUAAAGUAGAAGGCCGAAAUUAUUUUUGAUAAGAAAUAAAUGGAAGAAGAAUCAUAGGGAGGUUCAACUUGCUGGAUUUGAAGUAUAGCUUGACACAAAGAUGAGGAAUGGCUUUUGGGAGGGGAUUUCUACUCAUGUCAUGGCAAGAGGAGCUUUUUGAAAGGGAAAAGGAUCACUCCAAAUGCCAUAGGCUAUUAAAAAAAGAUUUACAAAAACUUUUUCCCAAAUGAAAAACAUUUGAGAUGAGUCAACAUAAGGUGGAGAAAAACCUCCAAGACCAAAAUCAAGUCUUGGGUGAAUCCAAAAAAAAUACUUGACAAAAAGAAAUUUUUGAGAGGGAGAGUUCUUUAGAAUUUUUUUAAAUAACCUCCCUUAAAUCAAAUAAAAGUUUGAAAAAGCCAAAUAAAAUUUUUUGGGUGUCACAACACCUACCCCCUUAGGAAAAAUCUCGUCCCCGAGAUUUCAGCUGAUCCUCAAAUAGAUGUGGGUACUCUGCCUGAAGAAAAUCUUCUCUUUCCCAUGUAGCUUCGUCCUCGGUGUGAUUGCUCCACUGAACCUUGAAAAUUUUUAUCGUUUUCUGACGGGUCCUCCUUUCAGACUCUUCCAAUAUCUUUACGGGCCGCUCUCUGUAGGUGAGGCCUGGUUGCACAUCAAUGCUCUCAUGAGAUACAUGCUUUUCCGGGCUGCUCACACAUUUCCUCAAUUGUGAGACGUGGAACACGUCGUGGACGUCUGACAGCUCUUUGGGUAGGUCUAGCUGGUAGGCUACUGUGCCUCUUCGUGCAACUAUACAGAAGGGUCCAAUAAAUCUCGGGGCUAGCUUCCCUUUAAUUUUGAACCGUUGCAGGCCUCGCAUAGGAGACACUCGUAGGUAUACAUAAUCACCUGGUUCAAAGCUGACCUCACGAUGUUUUUGAUCGUAAUAGCUCUUUUGUCGGCUUUGAGCUGUCUUGAGUCUGUCCCUGAUCUGUUCAACUUUCUCCUCGGCUUCCUUGAGCAUGUCUGGGCCGAAGAUACGACUGUCACCUGUUUCUGACCAAUUUAGUGGGGUACGACAUCUCCGCCCGUACAGUGCUUCAAAAGGUGCCAUCUGUAGGCUGGCUUGGUAACUGUUGUUGUAAGCAAACUCGGCAUACGGCAAACUUUCUUCCCAACUGGAUCCAUAGGUGAGCACACAGGCUCUCAGCAUGUCCUCUAGGAUUUGGUUCACGCGUUCCGUUUGUCCAUCAGUCUGAGGGUGGUACGCUGUGCUGAAUGCUAGUUGCAUGCCCAGAGCUUGUUGUAAGUGAUCCCAGAAUUUAGAGACAAAUUGAGUGCCUCGGUCGGAUAUUAUAGUCUUUGGGACUCCAUGCAAACAAACUAUACGGGAGAGAUAAAGCAUGGCUAGCCUUUGAGUGGAGUAGGUCGUCUUCACGGGAAUGAAAUGUGCUACCUUGGUUAGCCUAUCUAUGAUGACCCAUAUGGCAUCAUUUCCGCGCUGUGAUCGAGGUAGUCCGACGAUGAAGUCCAUUCCAAUUUCAUCCCAUUUCCACUCAGGUAUCCUGUUUGGCUGUAGUAGCCCUGCUGGCUUUUGAUGUUCGGCUUUUAUGCGCUGACAAGAAUCGCAACAAGCAAUGAAUGCGGCUAUAUCCCUUUUCAUGCCGUGCCACCAAAAUCUUUCCUGAAUGUCUUUGUACAUUUUGGUUCCUCUAGGGUGGAUUGAAUAUGGGGCGGUGUGGCUUUCGGUUAGGAUUUGUUGCUUGAGUUCCUCAAUGUUUGGUACGCAAAGUCUGUCCCCGUACCAUAAUAUUCCCUCAUUUUCUGUGACGAACUCUGAAGCCUUGCCAAGGCUUAUUUUCCUCUUUAUACCUUCGAUGCUGGGAUGUCCAUGCUGAGCCUUCUUAAUUUGUUCCAUUAGGGUGGGUUGUAUCUCCAGAUUUGAUACGUUGCCCUCAGAGACCAACACCAUGUUGAGUCUAGCGAACUCCUGCUGAAACUCAGGCCUCAAGUUCUGUGGACUGUUGUUGCCCGGGCUGGGGUUCCGACUAAGAGCAUCUGCCACUACAUUUGCUUUCCCUGGAUGGUAGUGAAUGCCGACAUCAUAGUCCUUGACCAAUUCCAACCAGCGUCGUUGUCGUAAAUUUAGCUCUGGUUGCGUGAAAAUAUAUUUAAGGCUCUUAUGGUCCGUAUAUAUUUCACAACGAUUUCCCAACAGAAAGUGCCUCCACUCUUUGAGUGCAUGGAUGACUGCUGCUAGCUCCAAGUCAUGAGUAGGAUAAUUUUCCUCAUGCUUCCGUAGUUGCCUGGAAGCAUACGCGACAACUUUGCCGUCCUGCAUCAAUACGCACCCGAGGCCCUUCCGGGAUGCGUCACAAUACACUUCAAAACUCUUGUGUAUGUCUGAUACAAUUAAAACCGGUGCUGUUGUUAGUUUCUUUUUGAGUUCUUGGAAGCUCUUCUCGCACGCUUCCGUCCAUACAAAUUUCUUAUCUUUCUUGAGCAACUGUGUCAUUGGUUUCGCCACAGUGGAAAAUCCUUCAAUAAAUCUUCGGUAAUACCCAGCCAUUCCUAGGAAACUCCGCACAUCAGUUACGUUGGCUGGUGGUUUCCAGUCAAGUAUGGCUUUGAAUUUUUCCGGGUCUAUGGCCACGCCUUCUUGGGUCAAUAUAUGGCCUAGAAAACCAACUUGUCUUAGCCAAAAUUCACACUUGCUAAAUUUGGCGUAUAAUUGAUGUUUCCUUAAUUCUCCCAAUACAAUUCUGAGGUGUUCAGCAUGUUCCUCUGGUGUCCUUGAGUAUAUCAGAAUAUCAUCAAUGAACACCACAACAAAUUUGUCGAUAAAUUUCAUAAAUACUUUGUUCAUGAGGUGGACGAAAUAUGCGGGGGCGUUCGUCAGUCCAAACGGAAUUACUGUGAACUCAUAUUAUCCGUAUCUGGAGGUGAAUGCUAUCUUAGGGAUAUCUUCUGUCCGUACUUUUAAUUGAUGAUAUCCCGAUCUUAAAUCAAUCUUUGAGAACACCUUGGCUUGUGCGAGGUGGUCAAACAAAUCGUUUAUCCGUGGCAUCGGAUAUUUGUUUUUGAUGGUGACCAUAUUGAGAGCCCGAUAGUCUAUACACAAUCUCAGUGUCCCAUCCUUUUUCUUGGCGAAUAAUACUGGCGAACCCCAUGGUGAGGAGCUGGCUCGAAUAAAUCCUUUGUCCAGUAAUUCCUAUAUUUGCUUCUUCAAUUCUACCAAUUCUGAGGGUGCCAUUCUAUAAGGUUUCUUGUAGAUGGGGGUGGUGCCAGGUGCUAGUUCGAUGCUGAACUCUAUCUCUCUGUCUGGUGGCAUGCCUGGUAGUUCUUCGGGAAAUACGUCGGGAAACUCGCAAACCACUGGAACUUUUCUCAGUUCUGAAAUGUCCACUUUGUUCAACUUUGGUUGCCGUGACCGUGGUCUCUCUUGAGCUGUAACUUUUAUUGUCUUGCCGUGAUGAUGAGUGAGAAUCACAGUCCGAUUGAAACAGUCAAUAAAUCCCUUGUUGGUGGUCAACCAGUCCAUCCCUAGGAUAACGUCCAGUCCUUUAUUUUCCAACACGAUGAGAUUAGCCUGAAACUUUAGUCCUUCGAAUGUUAUAAUCACUCCUUGGCAGUAACUCUGAGUGAUCCGCUUAUUCCCGGGGGACUUGAUAAUCAUAGAUUUUUCCAAAGGAAGUAUCGGAAAACCAUGUUGCAAAACAAAACUCUUCGAAAUGAACGAGUGAGAAGCUCCAGAAUCAAACAAAACCGUGGCAGGUACUGUGUUGACAGGGAACGUACCGAGUACGAUGUCUGGGGCAUUCUGCGCUUCUUCCUUGGUCACAUGAUUCAGGUGACCCUUCCUGUGAUUGUUGUUGGGAUUGAAAUUGUUACGCUUGGGGGCUGGAUUGUUCCCACCAUUGUUCGGCUUGGGGGCCGAGUUCCUUGGUUUUGGGCACUGUUUGGCAUAGUGCCCUUCCUCUCCACAAGCAUAGCAAGUGACCCCUGGAUGGUAUGUAAAGUCCUUGUCCCUUGAAUGAAACUGUCUGGUUGGCCUUAGAGCAGUAGUCGUGGAUUUUGUCGCUUCAUUCCUCUGAACAUCAGUCUUGCUUCGGUUGUUGCGAGCAAGAGUCGUCUUGUCCCUUUUUCACUUACGAAUAUCCUCCAGACUGCGGCGCUCAUUCUCCAAAGUAAUGGCCUUGUCAACCAGAGUUUUGAAAUCCGGGAAAGUGUGUACGACCAGUUGGCAUUUUAGUGCUGGCGCCAGGCCGUCCAAAAAGUUUUCCAUCCUUUUGUUCUCAGUCAUAUGCUCAUCGUAGGCAUAACGAGAUAGCUGGGUAAACUGACUGUUGUAUCCCGUCACUGUCAUGCCUCUCUGCUUGAGGUCAUCAAAUUCUCUUUUCUUGAUUUUUAUGAUGCUCCUGGGGAUGUGUGCCCCACGAAAACCUUCCUUAAACUCUUCCCAGGUGAUGUUAUGUUCACUAGGAUGCAUGUGUAGGAAGUUCUCCCACCAUGCUGCAGCUGCUCCAGUGAGGUAGUGAGGUGCAUAAAGCACCUUCUCAUGAUCAGAACAUUGAGCAAUAAUCAACUUCUUUCGAUGUCUCGAAGCCAAUCAUCGACUUCAAGCGGCCUAUCAAUGUGAGCAAACGUUGGAGGGCGUGUCUUUUGCAGUUCAGACAACUUGGAGUGCGGUUGGUAUGGCUCACGGUGAUUUCCCAUAUUGAUGACGUGAUUCGUCAUCUCUUGGUGUUGCUGUUGGCUUUGUUCGAAAAGGCGGCAUACUUGAGAUAAGGCUGCCUCGCUGUCCUGUUGACUAGACUGUCCCUGAGUGAAGUUGUUGCUUGUCUGUGUUCCAUAAACUUCUUCUGGUGGAUUUGGCAUGGAACGAGUCCACGGACGAGACAUUUUCCACUCUGGGGUAUUAUUUUGCAAAAUUUAUGAGAAGAACUGUGUGGCACAAGGAAAAUUUUGCAGAGACGAAAACUUUAAAAGACCUCAAGAUUUUUCAAGAACAUAAUUGAUUGCGCACGGAGAAGGAAUGCUUAGCACAUAUCUUACAAGCGAUACGCAAACAUACGAUACAUCACUCAGGAUGUGCGUACACACUCCUGACAUGUUAUUAAGGCUAGCACAUUCCUCCGGGAUCCUAUAUGAUGCGCACACAACUACUACAACUAACGUACAUAUAAAACAUAUCAUACAUGCAGACACAUCGCGCAGCGACUAGGCGCACUCAGUCGGAGAUGGUGAAGAUGUCCUUCCCCUUGCCGAGGGUAAGACCCAGCGGUGCAAGAGACUCAACCUCCACCUCCUCCCUAAUAGGUUCCAGGCGCGUAGCACUGUGCCGAGGUGAUGGCGCGGGUGCGGCAGGCGGUGCAGCUCUGACUGGAGUAGGAGCAAUGACCCGGUCGAACUCCUCAGUGGUAGGCAGACGGCGAGCAGUGGCCAAAAUGGCAGGUGAAUAGGAUGCUGAGGACGAGACGAACGUCAGUGGCGGUGCCAUGUGGAGAAGCUCCCUCCUGUUGGCAGAACAGCCCCGAACUAAGUCCAUGCGGGCAGCCACAAGAUCGUCCACGAGGUUGUCGAAAGCUUCCUCUAGAGCUUUGAGAUACUCAACAAGCAUCUCGAUAGCUUCAUCUCGUUCUCCCCUAUGGCAGGCGAAUGCAUAGUGACAAGUAUAUGGCACAUGGCAUGGGAGGUAGCGGUAGCGACGAGUCUUCAUCGAAGGAAGAAUAUCCCGAAGGCGAGCUAUCGCCUCACGGGCGGCCAUCUGCAUGGCAUGCCUCUCCGUAGGCAUGGCCCUUCCCACAAAACGGAAGUGGCGAGACGCAGAACGUUCUCCCUUGAAUUGCACCACGGCCUGGUGCAUAGACACGUCGUCGCUGAGCUUGUGCUGGUAAAGCGUGAACUCCGGACGAGUCGCUGGCCCGAUCGUGAGCUUGGUGAUGGAGACGAGGAGUUUGACAAACCCCUCGGGCACAUUAGUGAACACCCGAGUCUCGCAGUCACUGCCAACCAUCUACAAAAGUAGGCAAAAAUUAUGAGUAGUCAAAUAAUAAAUUUAUGAUGACCAACAGAAAAUAGCUACAUUUGCAAAAUGCUGAAAAAGCACUAAAGAUGCUAAUAACCAAUUAGCGAUCGCACCUAGUGGCUUCCUACAGUCAGCCUGGCUCUGAUACCAAGCUUGUCAUGACCGGUUUUCCAAUAAAAAUAUUUAUUGAGAAACCGAUCCCUUUUACGGACCAGUGGAGAAGAAUCCUCCUCAUUGGUAGACAAUUUCUUGUUCACAGAAGAAAAACCAGGAGUACUAAAUAUAUAAUACAAGGUUGAGCGAAGACUGCUCAACAAUUUAUUACAAACACGCCGAUAUUACACAUAAAGGCGGAUAGGGUGGCAUAACUACUGACUCAGAAUAAAAGCGGCGGUGGAUAUAUCACAGUGAAGUGGGUGACAUGACUCCUGAAUCUAACAGCUCUUCGAGCGUCGAAGUGAGGCUCGAGGAUUCUUAUUGUGGGUGGCGGAAGCGUAUAUAACACAAGUGACCAAAAUCCAGGAUCGCACGGAACCGACUGGGAUUCCUCUAGGCGUCGGACUCACUAUCAAACUCUUCAUCCAUGAGAUCGCCUUCGUCAACAUCUGGCCAAAUCAACAAGCCAGGUGAGUACUAUGAAAGUACUCGCAAGACAGUUCGGACAUAAGAUAUAACAAAUGUAAACAUGAUGCAUAUGAACGGAUUAAUAGAGCGCACUCAGACAAUGAGGUAGCAAUGCGUGGGAAAUAAAAGGGAAGUCGGGCGGUAGUCCCCCCGAAAUCCCAAGGUAAUACUGAAGGCCAAUCGAGUGUCUGAAUGACUCCUCGAAAGGAUACAAAUGAAAUAACAAUGCCGCAGUCGGGCGUCAAGGCGACACCACAUAAAGGGCUUAUAAUGGAAUAUAACUGACAGUGCGUGCCACAGUCGGACGUCUGAGCGACAUCACGUAAAGGGCUUAUAUCAAAAGUAAAUAACGGGCGUGCCACAGUCGGACGUCUGAGCGACAUCACAUAAAGGGCUUAUAUUGAAAGCAAAAGACAAGAGUGCCACAGUCGGACGUCUAAGCGACAUCACAUAAAGGGCUUAUAUUGAAAGUAAAUGACAAGAGUGCCACAGUCGGACGUCUAAGCGACAUCACAUAAAGGGGCUUAUAUUUCAUAACUUAAUAUUUCAGUAGCUCAUGAAUUUAAAUCAUUGCAAGGGAAUAUUCAGAUACGAGAUAAAUAAAAGGUUAAUCCAGCCAUAGGAAUAACAAUUCAACCGGGUUUACCACUCAAGCUUGUUCACUGGGGAUUUACCACUGAGACUGACAUAGGGACUGACAUGGAUAUGGAUAUACUGGCCAUGGUCCUUGACCUUGGACACGAUGACUCGGAAGGAUUUGACUCUGCAGAGCUUGUACUCUUAACCACAACCAAUGGAUUUCAGGAGUCACAAGGGACUAGUUCCGUUUACGGUGUUUUAGGAGAAACACAUCUAACCAGUACACACCCAUUCAACAUGCCGAUGCCAGGAAUCACCCUCGGUAAUGUUCAAGAAAAACUUUGAGACGGGGAGGCUACAAGCUCGCGUAGCAUGGGAUCAAAUUUAUACCGCGCGCUCUAAGGGGUGCCCCCCUCUCGGUCCCAACCGGAAACACCCAUGCCCCCUGACCGGAUGACUGGCUUUAAUCCAGGGCCAUGGAACCCUCAUCCCGGCCCCUCUAUUUGGUGUGUACAAGGAAAGAGGUUAACAACUUACUAAACCGUAUUCUAUGCAGAAGACAUGUGGCAGCACGAAAGGGGAAGAACGGUAACGUGACUCAGUCCACGUUAACGUCGGAGUUUAUCGGAUGACGUAAGACUGGCAUGCUACAACAAUACCAUCUUACUACCUUUCAUGUCACCACAUGAUCAGGUCAUCUCUCAUCAAAGAUCACACUAACUUCGAACACACGGUUGGUUGCCUUGCAUUGCAACGUAAUACUCACCGAUGCUCACAUGCCAUGCAUAAACCAUUCAAGCAAACAUGCAAAACACCUAUCAUAUCAAAGGUUCAAACAUGCUUGCCUGGUUCGGAGAAGUCGGAGUCUAGCUCGGCGAAGUUCGUGGCUCCGUCACCUCCUCCGGAACCUACGGUAUAACGAAACCGUACACUAACGUGAAAAUCGUCGCGUGUAUAAAAAUUGUUCCAAAUUUUUUCCAAAUAAAUACUAUAAAAAACUGGACAAAAAUACAAGACUGACAUAAAAAGAAUCAAUCAAAAAUCAUCUUUUAUUAAAAAGAUAUAAGGGUUUUAGUCCAGGGACUGAUCUGUGAUGAAACAAAAAAGAUCCAGGGACUUGUUAGAGAAAACAGAAAACGGUUCGGUACGAAAUGCGCCAGCCCAAGGAGAAAACACAUUUUGCCCGAAGGCGCUUUCAGAAAACGGUUCGAAGGGGGAAAAGAAGAGAGGCUGACGGGGGGGUCCCACCCGUCAUGUUUAAAACUCCCAACGGAGCUCGCCGGCGCCCGAAGGCUGCGGUGGUCGCCGGCGUUGAACCACGGCGAGGCAGAGAGAUCGGAGGGUACCAACAGGUUCAGGGUGUUCUUCCGCGUCGGUGGGUGGUGGACUUGGCCGUAGGAGAGCACCACGUCGACGGCGACACUUUCUCCGGCGGACGGUGGUUCGGGCGAUGGUGGAGUACUCCGGUGGGUGCUGCAAGCUUCAAAUUGAUGCGCGGGUCAGAAGAGUGGAAGCAUUAGGAGACUACUGGCAAGAGUUGAGGGGUGGGGGUGCACGCACGGGAGUGAAUCGUGCUGGAUCCCGUGGCGGGUCUAAGCGGCCGGAGUUGGGGAAGAAGGCUCCCUCGGGGCUCUUCCAGUGGCUUGGCGUGGUACUGGUGGUGUGUAGAGGUGGUGCGGGUUCGAGUUCGAGCUCGGGGCCUCCUUUUAUAGGCGAUCCGAGGGGGUGGCCGGGAACGGGAUAGCUCCGGCGAGCAAUUACGGCAAGGCAGAGGUUGGGCAGGGGGUUUAAGCGGCUAGGCACCAUCAGGGAGGCUCACUGGUGCCGUUCCCCCACUAAACCUCGGUCGGGCUAGGCGUAAUGCGCUGAUCCUCGACGGGACGGCCGUACGGGCACGGCGGCGGCAGAGAGCGCGCUCCGCGCCUACCAGUUCACGACGACGGACUGCAGCGUGCACGGGUGAGUGGAUGGCCACGCGGUGGCCUUUGGUGGCUUGGGCGGCGCUGGACGGCGCCGUCCAACGCUGCGCCUCUCUCUGGCAGCCGCAAAGGCCGCUGCUGCCGUCGCUCACGGGGUGGCGCACCUCCUCCUGCUCGUCGCCGACGCCCGCAAACCUCCAGGCGAUCGUGCGGCGCAGGGAUAAGGAGGAAGCACAGGGCGCACGGCGCCACCGCGGCUACUGGCGAGAUCGAGAACGGGUUCUGAAGAAAACGACAGUGGCUUACUGAAACUGUUUACUGAACUUUCUGAAUUUCGACAGUAACAGUGCACGCCAGGUGCUCGACGAAAUGAUUUGGCAUGAAGAAAUUUUUUUCUGGAGCUGGGACUUGGUGGGGUGACCUCUCAAUGCAUCCAGAGGCUGCCUGAAUUUUCUCAAAUUUUUAGGAGGAGAAAACAAUUGAAUUUCAUCAAAUUUGGCAAAUAUGGUCCAAACUUGCAGCAAGCACAAUUUGCAAUUUUUGAACUGGAGACCAGUGGAUCAUCAUGGAUCUUGGUUGAGGGCUCUAAGGACUAGCCAGGGAAAAUGGUUUGGAGGCAAAACUCAAAGGAGAAAAGGUAGUUCCUUUGUAAAUCUCCAAGAGCUAAAGUAGAAGGCAUAAAUUAUUUUUGAUAAGAAAUAAAUGGAAGAAGAAUCAUAGGGAGGUUCAGCUUGCUGGAUUUGAAGUAUAGCUUGACACAAAGAUGAGGAAUGGCUUUUGGGAGGGGAUUUCUACUCAUGUCAUGGCAAGAGGAGCUUUUUGAAAGGGAAAAGGAUCACUCCAAAUGCCAUAGGCUAUUAAAAAAAAAUUUACAAAAACUUUUCCCAAAUGAAAAACAUUUGAGAUGAGUCAACAUAAGGUGGAGAAAAACCUCCAAGACCAAAAUCAAGUCUUGGGUGAAUCCAAACAAAAUACUUGUCACAAAAAGAAAUUUUUGAGAGGGAGAGUUCUUUAGAAUUUUUUUAAAUAACCUCCCUUAAAUCAAAUAAAAGUUUGAAAAAGCCAAAUAAAAUUUUUUGGGUGUCACAUUUGCGCUGUUAAAGUAUCCAAGAUUCUAGAACAAUGGAGAAACAUAGUGCUAUGAGGUUGUUUGUGCAUAGGUAGCAUUGUGCUUGAGCUUACAAAUGGAAUAUUCUAUAUAGUACGCAUGCUUGGAAUUUUUCUUUUGUAGUAAAUAAGAUAUUGAAUGGCUAAAAAUGCUGGGAUUUCCCAUCUGUCCACCAUUGGAUUGGCUUCAUCCAACAACAAAUAUUCAAAGUUGUUUCCAGAGUACAUGUUUUAAAAGUUACCAUUUAUAGAAGCUCAAGCAAUGUUGAUAAAUAUUUACUGUUGCAUGUAAACUUUUCAUGUUCUAGAUAUUAAUCAUUGAUCCUCUUAUUGACUGUCAUUAAAUAAACAAAUUUGUAGGAAAUUUUCCAUCCACUCAAAUCUGUCUGAAAGAAUCCUACGUUUUUAAUAUGCACAAUCAAACACUCAUACAAUCCUGUAGGAUUCAAGAUGACAUGCCACUCUAAUCCCACCUUUUCCCUAUUCAUGCAUUUUGGAAAUCGUAUGAAUCAAAGAGGUGAUACCUAACAAAUACACCGUUUUCUACAGCAGAAUUGAUUAUGACUACUGUUGCACGCACAGGGGGAUUUUAGGCCUACAUGACUACUGUUCCAUGCCAGGUUUUAGAUUGAAGGGGUUUCCUUCCAAAUGUACGAAACAACUAGUACUAACCCUAACCCUAAGGGAGAGAUCAAGAAACAUAACCUAUCUGGACGAAAUCUAAUCCGUGCUACAUGCAAUUCAGGAGAAAACCCCAAGGGAGAAAACCCCAAAAACAGAGUAGGAGAAUAGAACAGAACAGAGUAGUACCUCCGAGAGCUCGCCGUCGACCUCCUCGUUGAAAUCGACGGCCUCGUCCUGCACUUCCUGAGCGUCGAGGUGGGCCUCCUCGUAGCUCUUGUCGAUGAGCUCGUACUGCUCGCGCUUCCGCUUGAGCCUCUGCUCCUCCAGAUCCACCGCCACAUCCUCCUCCACCUGCUCCCCGACCGCAGGCUCGACUGCUGCGACGGCGGCCGGAGCAGUCACAACAGAUGGUGCACCACCUCCCGUCACCGCGACGGCGCCCUCGGCCGCGCCAACCGCGGCAGCAAUGACCACAGUAGGCUUCUCCACUGCUUCUACCGCUGCGUCCUUCUCCACCACCGCUUCUUCACGUCCGGCCUUCAUCUUCCAACGACGAAGGGAAAGGGAGGUGGUUGCUGGCUCGUAGGAGGUUGGUUCGAGGUGAGAGGAGAGGGUUUUUGCUGAUUUGGGGAAGAAAAGCAGCAGGGGUGGGGGGUGGGGGAGGCGGCCUUUAUUUGGCGUGUGGGGGUGGACGUUUGGAGUUACCGAGGCUAGACGCGUGGCGUCGUGCGCUCGUGCACGCCCCAACCGCUUUCAUUUAAUUUUUGUCAUGAAUUUGUAUAUUUUUAUUUUUUGACCUGUGGUUUAGCGAGGAAAUUGCACAAAUUACCUACCUUUGGUGUUACUUUUGCAUAGAACACCUACUUUACAGGUUUGUUGCACAAAAGAACACAUAUUGGGGUAAUUUGUUGCAGCUAGGUCUAAUCCACCAUUUUGGGUGGGUUGACAUGAUUUGUGACAAGUGAGUUCAGUUUGUAAGUGCACCGCGGGAAAAACACAUUCCACAUCAGCACCCAGCUAGAACUGUGCAAAAUUUACAAAUAGGUACUCCAGAAAUAAUUCUCAUUGUUUCCGGGCCCACAGAAAUGAACUAUUGACAGUUUUUUUGUUCCCACAUAACAUCUUGGCACACAAGAGCAUGCACCAAACUUGUUCUCCUUCGACACACAGAGCUAUAACGACGGACAUGUACCAGUAAUAUUCACACUGCACGUGUCGAUACCAUCUUGACCAACAUGCAACAACAUUGGUCUCAUUAGAUUGAUACAUGCCAUAAGGGGUCCAAAUCAUUCACCAAUUCUUCUAGUCACAUUCCACUCCAAGAUGCGACAAUGGAUCGACAUGUAUCAAUCUUGAUAUCUUUGCACAAAUAAUUGGUAUAAGGGCCAGAUGCACCAAUAGAUGUCACAAUGCACUGACACAUGUCACUUGGGCCAACACGCACCAUGCCCACAAACAAGGAACAAAUAAGCCUAUAGGAUCCACAUGCACCGAUAAACUACGUCUCGACAUGCAACAACUUUCAUGUGUUUUCACUAAUCAUGGUCUCUUUGGACUCACGGAAGCCAUAAGGGCCAAAUGCACCAAUAUUGACACGUUGCACUCGAACGUGCCACUUGGGCCAACAUGGAUAAUGGUUUUUUUACUAGCAAGGAUCACAUAAGCCAUUAUAUAGUGUUGGUACCCUAGCUAAUAACAACAUAUAUCAACAUUGGUCCUAGUUGGAGCUUCACAGGACCACUUAUGCCACACAUGGAGCACAGCCUCGGUGCAUGGUUUUUUUUCGUGUGUUUGUGUCUGGAUAAAUGUCUUAAGGAGAGGCAAAUUGGUUCAACCGAACACACUGCAUCAGCCGAACUGGUUAGACCCUUUACCACACACCCGCAUGGCCCUGGUUCAAAUCCCCGUGAGGCAGUUGGAAAUGCCAAUUUUUUUCUAUGGGUACCGACACGUGGGGUCCCCUUGUCAUCCACACAAACGCGCCACCACAUGUACCACAUUUGGCUAAGUGCACCUAGUACUCCACAUCAUUUUCAACUUCUUCGUCCCCUUCUCGACAAGCGCCGCCGCCGCCAGCUCCCGACGCCGCCUCUCUUCGCCGUCGGAUCUGCGCGGCCGCCGCCAACUCCGGCAAGUAGGUGAGAUCUCCCCUCAUCCCCCUCGUGAAUCUUCUUCCCUUCCCAAACCGCAUGCGUCUCCCUCCGGGUGCGGAUCUGAUCCAGAAAUUUUAUUUGAUACAUGCGGUAGAUGAUUUGUUGAUGGAUAUGAUGGUUCUUUGAUAGAUUGAUGGAUGUCGUAGUGUAGGAUCUGAGCCGUACCAGGGAAAAGAGAGGCCCUGUGCAAAUCAAAAUGAGGCCCUAUGUGUGAAAAAAUAAAUCAUAAUAAUUCAUCCGUUCUUCACUAUAGUAUGUAGUACUGACAUUGGAUUGAAUCUGAUUGGGAUUUGUUAGGUAGAUGAUAUUGGCAUUGCCAUUGUCAUUGGCAUUGCUUUUUUAGGUAGAUGAUAGUAAACAGAUUUAAUAGGCAUUGCAUUUUAGGUUAUCACUAUGAUUUAUUAUAUGUAUGAUCUUUGUAUUGUACUAUGGUAGCGUACAAUUCAACUUAGAGUUCAACAUGUUCUGUGUAGAAUGGAGGAAGCACCGUGUCGACGGUGCAAGUCACGGUGUCGGACCAGCCUUUGUACUGCCACGCUGUUCAGCAUCUACUUCCAGCCUACUUUUGUUUUUGCAGCGGUAACAAUUUAUAUGAACCUUCUGACAAUUCAUUAAUUUUGUUUUUUUAUUGCUAUUUCCACUAAUGCAUUGUGUUUGUUAUUUGUUUUUAUCUUGCACAGAUCGUCCCAUGCAAUGUGAGAUUGGCAUUCAAUGACCUCGUCGGAGACACCGUGACCUUCGACGCUCUCGGGGGGCCGUACACUAUGCAGGUCGAUAAGGGGCGAACGAUAACCCAGAUUGGAGGAGAUGAAUGGGAUCGUUUCAUCGCCCGCUUGCGUCUUAGUGGGGGUGAAUUGAUCAGCUUCUCCUUCAGAGGAGAAAGGCCCAGGAUUUCUGUUAUCUAUCUGAAUUUGAUUUUCGAUAGUGAGGAUGAAGUUCAUGAGGAGGACGAUGGUGAGGAUUCAGAUGAUGAUGAGAACCCACUUGAUGAAGCACUCUAUGCCCAAAGACUGAGGCUGAGCGGCGAUGAAACGUGCAACCUCUGGGACAUGCUUCCACUACGUGAAGACUACGUCGGGAUGCCAUUCGUGACCCGCCUCACAAGGACGAAUGUUAAACAGCAUCUCAUGGUAUGUUACUUACUGUGGCAAUUACAUGAUAUGCAUGCUUAAUAAGUGUACUAGUUGAUAUGAUAUGCAUGUUGUAGUACUGUGAUGAUAUGCCAUGUGUAGAAUUCAUUUAGUGCAGAAUUUUUUAUGGUAUGCAUGUGUUGUAGUAAUGCGAUAUAUCCUUAUGUAGUGUAGUAAUAUGCGAUGAUAUGGUUAGUGUACGUAGUAAAUAAUGAUAUGCUUAAUUACUGUAGUAAUUUGAUGAUUAGCGUCUAGUGUAGUGAUGUGAUGAUAUAUAUGCUCAGUGUUGAAUCCAAUGAUAUAUGUGUCUUCAAGUGUAUGAUUUGCUGAUAAUUGCACGUGACAUGCUCAUAUAUCAUAUCAACUAUUUUCAAAAAUUACCUACGAGGUUAUCUGUUAGCUGUGGCAUCGAGCCGCAUGAAGAAGGCAUGACUGCUGGACUACGCCUUACCAGAACGGGCUCCAUCACCACCUGUGCCUACGCAGUGGACACGGAUGGUCGCAAUGUCUUCAACCGGGCGGGGUGGAAGAAGUUCCUUCAUGGCAAGAAUCUUUGGGUAGGUCAGGGCAUCCUACUCACUGUUGUGAACACCCAUCGCCGUGACUUGAGGAUGAUGAUCACCAUCAACCUCAUUUAGAACUGGCUGGGCCAUGGUUUGAUGUGAAAUGAACUUGGUAUGUUAGCUCUUGUUUCCGAGUACUUGCCGUGUAUUACCAUACCUAUCUAUUUAUAUCUAGGUUUAGUAAAUGGGCCAUGUAUCGCUGUGAAAUGAACUUGUUAUGUUUGGGGCUUGUUUUGUUGUUGCCCCAGCGGUUAUUUGAGACUUCCUUGAACUUGAAUCUGUCUUGACUUGUUGUUGGAUGCUUGGUGCUGUUGCUUUAUAGUAUAAAGCUGGGGGAGUUGGGGGACCCUUUUUCGUAGGUUCGGUUAAUGGAGUUUAGUUCUAAUUGUAGUAAUUGUUUACUUUUCCAUACAAUUCUGAACCAAAACUACACAUGGCACAACCUUCUGUGAUUAGUUCCAUUGAUAACUAGUACUCCCUCUGUAAACUAAUAUAAGAGCGUUUAGAUUACUAAAAUAGUGAUCUAAACGCUCUUAUAAUAGUUUACGUAGGGAGUAUUGAAGAGCAGCCACAAAGUUCCAUUCACAAUUUACUUGAAUAUUUGUUUUGAUGGAUAAACAAAAUAGGAAGCUAGCAAACUUAUUUAACGAGAUAAGCAAACUAUGUACUUGAUGACAUAAGCAAACUUGUUCAACCCUGACAAACAGGACAUAAACAAACUGGUUCAACUCUGACACACAUGACAUAAACAAGCUGGUUUAACCCAAGAAAAGCAAACUACAAAUUUCAAACAACAAGAUAAACGGCAAGCACAAGCGCAAGCAACACGAAGGCAGACUUUGAUGACUCCUCAUCCCGCAUAGUGGCAGUGGUAGUAGGGGUCCACUUCCUGCUCUUUUGAAAUUUCUAGACCUCUUUUGAUGUUGUCGAUUAUCUUCCACGACUUGUAGGUGGCGUACACAUCUAUUGCUGCGUACUCGAUGAGGUAAUUUGGCAGUGGGCUGUCCCCCCACAGUUUAUGGUCUGCCUCCCUAUCGAUCUUCUUCUUCAUCUUUCUGUAGAAUGGGUGGAUGACGCUGGCUGCAACAUUAGCCAAGGAGUCGUACGGUUUUCCAUUGUAUGGAACUCUCCAGUUGCGCUGAAUGUCGAUGUGCUUGUUGGGGUUUAUCUCCAAACCAGACAACUUCAGCUUGUCCCUGUCAUUUUUAAUGCUGAAACCGGCAAAGGUGAACAACUUCUCCUCCUGUAGGAGCUCUUUGAGGCGCUUUGGCCUGCUAGGGGAGAGACACGUGAUGAAUACAUGGAGUACUAGUGUUUAUUUUUCAAGAUUUAAUCUUCUGUUUUUACGGUUUACAAGUGAAUAAUACAUGGAGUAGAUGCUUAUACAGUAUAAGUCAUGGAUGAAUGUAGUUCAGAAACUAGUACACAAAGUUCUGAAAUUAAAAUCAAGUACACCAUGUUAUUUUUCUUUUCGGAAUAUAUAGUUGAGUCAAUGAUCUAUUUGCUUUCUUAGUGCCAGUUUAGUUUUAUUAUUUUGAAUAAAAUAACAUAUACCUCUGCUUCACCAAGUUCUUAAGUUUUUUCGGUGGUGAAAAUAACACCAGACCAAGUUCAGAAACUACUUCACUACAUGAAGUUCAGAAACUACACUAAUGAAUCAAGAUGAGAAACUACACUGGUACAUCAACCUCACAAAUUAAUCUUGUGCAAUAGUUUCAGAUACUAAUCAAGUGCAUCAGGGUCAAAAUAUAUUCUAGUGCAUCUACUUUGAGGAACUACACUAGUGCAUCCAUUUUCACAAACUACACUAGUACAUCUAGUAUGAAACUAGUCUAAUGAAAUUUCGAGGGAGCAGUAUUGAUGAAUGGAAGAGGGUGAAUGAGUAGGAUACUUCACCAUUUUGUGGCCGCAGCGAUGUGGUACAGGAGGCAGAGACCCUCCACGCUGAUUUGCAGAACUGCUGCCAUCUGCGGAGGUUCAUCAUCUUUGGUAAACUCCACAUCAACGCCCAUGAUGUGGGGGUACGAGCCGCAGGCGCUCCUCCUGAUCCUAGAGAUCAUCUCGUCGGCCUUGUCUGGUUCGCUGGUGCAGACGACCUCCAGCGUCUCCUUGCCGUGGAGCUCAACCCCUGUGAGGGUUAUGGUGUACUCGCGCUUCUGACCGGGAACGUGAACGACGUCGAGGUUGCCGCUCUGGUGGGACGUCUGGCCACAAUGACGCUUGGCAGACGCUUCCUCCGCCAUUGCCCUCCUCCUGUGACUGCAGGCUUCGAAGAGAGAUGUUUGUGGGUUGUUUGCAGAAGAGAUGGAAGCGGCAAUGGAAGUUCUCGGAAUGAGGCAGUGAUGUAGUCGAUUUGGGGCUUUUUCACGCCUGGGAUGGGGACGUGGGGGAGGCGGUUCGUCUAGGACGUGGGGGUAGUUGUGGUGGGGCGCAGUUGCAGUCCGUCGUGGCAACUGCGCUCUGUGCACUGCUGGGUGCGCGUGCGUCUGAGUUUAGUCCCAUCACGGGCCUGCAUCCUGGCCCAUAUCACUGGUUUUGUAGUCGUAUGCGGGCUGUGGUGUGUGAAAUAUCAUGUUAGGUAGGUGGGCUUUUUUUCUAUGAAAUCUUUUUUUACCUAUGAGACAUUUUGACUUAUACUAAAAUAACACUUCCUUUUUUAGGUACACGUGUCUUAUGUGACAAGUUUAAGUUUGAUAACAAUGAAAAACAUGUAAAACCUUGCCACAUUGCCUUUCUUGGACAUGUGUAAAAAGUUUAAGUUUGAAAACAAUUGAAAAACAUGUAAAACCGUGCAUCAUUGAAUUUUAAUUAUAAAAUAAAUAUGUAAUAUUGCAGUGAAAUUGUAGAACAUCUCCAAAUCAACCAUCUUCAACAAAUUUUGGAAGUUUCGUCACAUGCGUGAUUUUUUCGUUCAUUAGUACAAUGUCGACCAUUUUCAACAUGUAUUGCAAGUUUUGUCACGUAUGGCUUUUUCGGGCAUAUGCGACACGAAGAAACCAUUGUUAAUACUAAAAAAGCAAGGACAAUAUUUUCUAGAUCUUUUGGGAUAUCAUUGUGAUAUUAUUGAAAUCUCACAUAACUCAACGCGGCCCACCCCUCCCUAAAUCCCGCGAUUACAGCGCCUCAUUCUAACCACCCGGUCGUGCCAUCCGUAGCUCCCACGACCGCUGCAAGAUCAGAUCGGAGACCUGGGCUCACACAGAUUACAGGAGUUGCCGGCCACCGCCCACCGCCAUGAGGGGUCGGACUUCAGUGUUCUUCUCGCCGCCCCGUCCUCGCGUGAACCCGCCGUAUAUCCUUGCCGCCGUCUACCGCGCUAUACGGGCCCUUCUAGUUUGCCACGCACUAUCUGCGGCCAUCAACUCGGCGCCGACGUCUCUGAGAGAAGGUAUUUCUUGAUCAUAGCUUUUUUUAAUCAUUGUCGGCCGCUCUUUUAGUAGUUGAAGCCUCAUAGGGUUUGCACAACUUCACGUGGUUAAGCAAUUGGAUACCCUUGUUAAACUGCGCUUAUUUUAUGCAUGACCAAAUAGGUUGUGUGCUUAAACUCAUAAGUGGAUCAUAUGUUAAAUGAUCCACUUAAAUUUGACAGCAAGACCAUAGCCAAACAAAUGUUGAGCCCAUUCAAACUUAAAUAGGUAGCAUCAAUUGAUACAUGAUCUUGCUCAUGCUCUACUUUUAGCAUCAUUUCAUACAUGUUCAGUUCUUAUCAUAAAGUGGAUAUAUGUACUUUUGGCAAUCAUGAACAUCCUCUACUUACUGCUAUAACUAAUGCAUCCUCAGUACAAAAAUUGAACAGGCAAUACGGUUGUAUUGGCAAUCAUUUGCAUGCUUUACUUUUGGCAAGAACUAAUGCAUAGUUGAGUUAUAACUGGUCAUAGAUAUGGCUGGAACAUCUUGAGUUAUCAUCACGGUCACGCAGAGACCCUAAACCAUCACAAGAUAUGUUGAGCCCAUUCAAACACAAAUAGGAAGCAGCAAUUGAUACAUGUUCAUGCUCAUGGUCUACUUUUAGCAUAAUUUGAUACAUGUUCAGUUCUUACCAGAAAGUGGAAACAUGCACUUCUGGGAAACAUGAGCAUCCUCUACUUAUUGCAAUAACUAAUGCAUCCUCAGUACAAAGCUUCAAAUGGCAAUAGGUAGAAUUGGCAAUCAUUUGCAUGCUUUACUUUUGGCAAAAACUAAUGCAUAGUUCAGUUGUAACUGGUCAUAGAUAUGGCUGGAACAUCCUGAGUUAUAAACCGAACAUAAUCAUUCCAUGGUAUAACUACCAUAGUCAUUGUAGUAGAGUUCCUAGCAUGCAUCACGUACGAUUCUAGAACGGAAGAAUAACACAGCAAACAUAACAUAGACCACCGUACGAUACUUGAGUUGCUAUGGCCUUGUACAAUGCAAGGUGAUUAGGCGAGGUGUUUAGAGAGAUAAACCAGGCUUUUCUUAAGCACCGGUGCUUAUUUGUAUAGGGUAGACGCUUAACUAGGCAUCUGUCCUGUAGGAAUAGGCAAUGGUGCUUCAGAAAAACCCGGUUUAUUUUUCUAAGCAUCACCCUUAGCAUCUACCAUUGUACAAUACCUAACAUGCAUCAGCAAAAUAGUACUAAUAACAACUUAGACCACACUUAAGCAGAUUAGCAGCAAACACUUAGUUAAACGGCAGACCACACACCAUAAGUUCACACCCACCAUAGACCAUAGGACAUAAGUUCUUACACACCAUAGACCAUAAGUUUUAGAGUCGACCAGCGAAUACCGAUAACAUAAAAGGACACGGCGGUCCUGGGGCAGCAGCAGCAGUCUAGCAGCACAUCACUUGUCUCCCUUGUUCAGUGGCGGUGCGGCGGGAUGUAGUAGGGCUCAUUGACUUUGACAAUCUUGAGGAAGCGCCCGUAGGCCGCAUGUUUUGCUAGAGUACUGGCCUUUUGCUUCCUACUGUAGGAGUUGCCAGUGGAGACGGCAUGCUGCAUCAAGCCAUCUAUGCCGCCCUUGAUCGCCUUGCCACAGAAGGGGCAGCCAAGCUUUCCAUAGAAACGGCACUUGAAUUUUCCAGCAAUCAGCUGCCUCAUGAUGUAGCGGCUCUUGCUGUGCCUGCUGUCCAUGUCAUACCCCACAUCAUCGUCAUCCUCCUGUGAAUUAGUACACAAAGAAGAACUCAGUUAAUCUAUUCUGCUACAUUGCUCUUAAUUAGAAUGUAUGAAAAGUACAGACGUGUAACAUGACAACUAUCUAUUUGCUUGAAAUAAGGCGUAUAUGCACAUACAUAAUUGACCCAAAUAAUUUCACAUGCAUAAAUAUGGACGGUGGAAUAGUUGCAUUGAUAGAUGAGUGCACAAGAAGUACAUAAUUAACACAUGAAAGAAUUCAUAAUGUGGCUUGGUUUAAUGAUACUUGAUACUUGUUACAGGUGUAAUUCUGAUUGGAAUCAGAAAAAAGGCUUCGGGGGUUUCUUCUAUCUACUGGAAUCAAGAAACCAUAAUUCUUUCUGAGAGCAGCAAUACUAAUUCUCCAACAUUGUUAGUAUGGACGAAAAUGCCAAGAGCGCACUGACAAGUCAACGCAUAAUGGAGAACUACACUACAGCCCAUACAACUCGAUUUCAUCUAUCUGAGAGAGAGAGAUUGUUUUGUCAUUUCGUACGACUAAUUUGACAUUAAACUGAUGUCAGUGUUCUCGUCAAGUGAUGCGUCGAUACUAGAUUUACGACAUAAUCAAAAUGUCAAAAUAGACCAAGCUUUAUCACAGUGGAAUGCAAUGCCUUGCUAUGAUGCCUCUCAUCAAUUGGUAUAUGCAAUUAGUUAGGGUUAAAUCCAACUGUCUAGUCGUCGGUAGUUACAAAGGAGCUAUGGGCUACUAUCUUUAUACCUUAUCUUGUGACUCUGAUGAUACCGGUGAGGAAAAUACUUUGGAGCAACUUAACUUGGAACAGGAAAUGUUGUCAUGCAAAACAAAGUGUUUUUUUGUCUAUUUAUUGGAAUCAGAAAUUGAAUUCUGGUUUUACAAAUAUAUGCUAAAAAAGAUUCAUUCCAGUGGUCUAAAAAAAGAUUCAGAAAUUGAAUUCUAGUUCUACAAAUACAAGUUGAGUAUUUAGGGCAUGUUGUCUAAAAAAGAUUCAUUCCAGUGGUCAGAUGCUCAAAUUGAGGCCUUCACAACAUUGAAGAAUUGUCUGGUCACUGCUCUUGUUAUGGCUUUGCCUUAUUUGACCCUACCAUUUACUUUUUAAACAGAUGCAUCAGGUCAAGGUAUUGGUUCUGUCCUCAUGCAACAAGGCAGACCAAUUGCCAAAACAGGAAAUGGUGUCAAAGAAAUAAUCAAGUGGUCAGAACAGGAUUCUUACCAAUUAAAACUGAAUGUAGAUGCAUCAUAUGAUAGUUAAGAAGGACAUGAGUCGAUGGGUGGUGUUUUAAGAGAUCAGUAUUGUCAGGACCGGAUUUUCGGGAUAUUAAUUUCCCAGAAAACGGCCUUUGUGCUCACCAGCCCCAGGAUUACUGUUAGCUGAUGAGGCACCAACUUGAUACAAGAAUUCCAAGCAAAGUACAAAAUAUGUGGUACAAGACCAUUGUGGCCUAUGAGUACAACACUUGGUUUCUAGUGGUUGAUGGCGGAAGCGAUUUGUGGUACAUCUGCAUCUAUGGGACUCCAUUUCCCACAAGAACAGCUGACCAGGAUAACUCCUAUCUUCGCGAGGCUGCUAUCACCUUUACAUGGGUUCCGGGGCUGUCGUCGUAACGCUCUUCUCCACGCAAGAAAUCUGGCCAAGACAAUAGCCAGGGACAAGCCAGUGAGUACGUAUGAAUGUACUCGCAAACAUUAAGAACACGGGUAUAAUAUAAUAGUGGAUAAUCAUGCUCUGAAAGAUUUUACGAUCAUAAUGUCAGUCACGAAAUAAACGAAAUUUCAUGAUGCGCGCAUGCAGGUAGAUUCGUGAAAAUGCAUUACGGGAGUAGAAAUAGGAUGCACCGAUCGAGUGUCUGAAGCGACGCCUCGGAAGAAAAAUAAAAUAAAUCAUGCCUCAGUCGGGCAUCUGAGCAACACCACAUAAAGGGCUUAUGAAUAAAAGAAAAUAACAAGCGUGCCACAGUCGGGCGUCUGAGCGACACCACAUAAAGGGCUUAUGAGUAAAAGAAAAAUAACAAGCAUGCCAUAGUCGGGCGUCUGAGCGACACCACAUAAAGGGCUUAUGAAUAAUAAAUAAAUGACAACAUGCCGCAGUCGGGCGUCUGAGCGACGACACAUAAAGGGCUUAUAAAGGUUAAAUAAAUAACAAGCAUGCCGCAGUCGGGCGUCUGAGCGACGCCACAUAAAGGGCUUAUAAAUAAUAAUCGCAGUGAGUAUCCAGGAGGUAGAACCGUCCCAGGGAUACUCAAUAAUUCAAAUAAAGUAACUGGUUAGUCCACAAUAAUAAUAAUCAUAACCCUCAGGUGUCAUAGGUCAUAAUCAAAGUUCUAGUCUAGCCGUUUCUCCAUCUGAAUACCGUUACUAUGUUCAAGUUUAGCCGUUUCUCCAUCCGAAUACCGUUACUAUGAUCCAGUUUAGCCGUUUCUCCAUCCGAAUACCGUCACUAGACCCAUCUCAGACUGUAGUCCUUACCCAUGGACGUGGCUAUCCAAAUAGAUAUAACCUCUGCAGAGGGUGUACUCUUUAUCUGCAGAGGGUGUACUCUUUACCCACGAGUAAUGGAUUUAUUUAGUCCCUCGGGACUAAUUCCGCCUACGGCCUUUUAAUUGAAAACACGCCUGACCUGCACACACCAGCUUAACUUACCGGUGUCUGGAAUCACCCACGACACCUAUCAAGCAAAACUCUAAGUGGGGAGGCUACAACCUCGACGUAGCAUGGGAUCAAAUUUAUAUCGCGCGCUCUAAGGGGUGCCCCCCUCUCGGUCCCAACCGGAAACACCCAUGCCCCCGGACCAGGUGGCAUGCCUACCGGAUGCAUCCGGUAUCUUCCACCAUGGCCUCUCUGUACGGUGUGUGCUUUGGUAAGGGGUUGAAAACUUACUGAACCAUACCCUACCUGCGGCAGGGACAAGUGGUAGUACAAAACAAGAAGGGGAAAAUUACUGAACAAGACUCGACCUACGACCGACUCAGGAGGUCCAAGUAUUCUCCGAAUGAUUAGCAUGACCAAAAAUAUUUCCAUUAACAGAUAAACUCACCACUCAUCAAGCCUCACCAUGCCAUACCGGACAUACUCGUCUCAACGAGGAACUAGGGACAAGCUCGUGUCUACCCAAGACCACGACUCUCCCGGCUUCCUGCCGGUAUGCAUGAAAAGCUCGCGAGGAUGAUCACUAUCACCAGCAUAUACAUUUCUAACAGUAAAGCAUCUCCAAUAUGCACUCAUGCGUGUGAUUGUAUUGUUACAUAGAAAUAACGCAUGCUCCAAGUCAGGGUGGUAUUGUAACUGUAUCAAAACACCUCACGAAAACAUUAUGCCAGAGUUUAGAAUGCUUGCCUUCAAGAGUAUGCAAGGGAGUGCACUUUUUGAAGGUUUUCUUCUCUCUCCAUUUCCUAUUUUGAAAAAUAUUCAAAUAACAAAUAUUUCAAACACAGUGCAAAAAGUUGUCCCAAAUAUUUUUGAAAUAAAUCUUAAAAUAAACUAGAUGAAAUUUGAGAGAGGUAGGAAAAAGAAUCAACUCAUUUGGAGUUUUAUUUUAAAAGAUAUAGCCAGUCAAAGUUCUGUUUUUAAUAAAACCAAAAAAAGGAAAACGUUUAGAUACAGAAUACGCCUUCGAAGCAGAGGAAACGUACUCAGGUGUUUACGUGACCACUUAAGCCAGCGUGGGUGGCGCGGGGGUCACUGACAGUGGGUCCAGGGGGCCCACUGGUCAGGUUUGACUAGUCCUCCUCUCCCUCCUCUCUCUCUGCCCGAGCGGAGGCGGGACUCCGGCGAUCGCCGUCGACGAACGGCAGCUCCCCACGGGUAACUGAGGGCGGGGAUGGACCUGCCAGACCGGGGCGGUCCUCCCGGUGGUCGCUGGGUCGACGGUGGUGGGAGGAGUCGCCGGCGGCGAGCUCCGCGGCGGAGGGGGCUACGGGAGUGAAUGGGGGUUUGGGCUCCGGUGGUUUCCGAUCGAGGCUGAGGCGCUGGGCAGCUCUGCAAGAACGAGGGGAAGCAUUUGGUGGCGUUGGAUGGGCGGGGGAUUGCCUGGUUGCGACGAACGGCACCGGAAGGCAGCGGCGGCCGAACCGGCUGGAGGUGGGGGAGAUGGCCUCUUCCGGUCAAUCCACGGCUAGGGAAGCACUAGGGGGGAGGCCUGAGGUCGCCUGAGCGCUCGGAGGGGCUCGGGGCCUCCUUUUAUAGGCGUUUGAGGCUGAUCCCAUGGCGGCCGUGGAUAAGAACGCCGGCGACCGCUGUGCUGUAGCUGCAGGGCGACGUGGCGGCGACGAGCGCGUGCCGACGGGUUCCAGGAUAAGCUGGAGCUGCUCCAGGGGGCAGCUGGCGCGCUGGUGUGGCUUGGGCGGCGCCGUCCGUGGCAGGAGCUCACUGCCGACGCUGGCGUGCCGCCAAAGGCUCUGACGGCGGCGCUGUAGGGCGCUAGGGGUGGCUUGGAGAGCACUAGCGAGUGGGCGAGGAUAGUGCGUGGCUUUGCAGGCGAGCAAGGGCCAGGGGCGGGACGCGGCGAGGGCGGCAGUGCGACGCGGCGACUCGGUGCGCGCGCGUGCAAAACGUGCGCUCUGGGCGCGUCCAGAGCACGCACGGGACGUGCUCGACGAAAUGCCAGGGCAGCCUAGAGUGCUAGAGGGAGGCUGGCAAUUAACAGGACUAGGCUAGGAGUAGCUAGGAUCUUAGUGGACAAGGUUGCUGGGUCAGAGGAUCAAGUACACAGUGCAAACUAAAACUCAUGUCAAAACUGACUGUGCACACCAAGUGUUCGACAGAAUGCUAAGUGUACCUAGGCAACUCUUGGAGUGGCCAAAAACUCCAGAUCAGGGUCUCCCUGGAUGUAGGUGAUGAUGGUAAGAUCAUUUGGGCAAAACCAGAAACUUGCUAGUGCAAGUUUUGCAAAACUACAAUUUUGGACAGAAAGAAAAAGGUCUCAUUGCAUGCACUUAAAAUCCUCCAAUGGGUCCAUUCUCCUGGACUUAAGGGUUUUGUAGGGAGGGCUAUAAGCAGGAAAAAGCUCAUGGGCACUAGAGAAAAAUAAAAUAGGGUUGCAGUACAAAUCACAAAACUGGACCAGAAUGAAAAAGAGGCUGAUUCACUCAAAUUUUUCAAAGAACAACACUGGUUUUUAGCAUAAAGUUUAAUUAUAUGCAUCUACUGACAUCUCCAAACACUUGGAAGAAUUUUUAAAGGAAUAUUUAAAUAGGUUGUAGUGCAAAAAUGCCUACGGGACCAGUUUUGAAAAGUUGAUGUAGAGAUCAAAAUCUCCAAUAACCAAAAGAUAUCUUUGCAUAAAAGUGAUGUGGGAACAUCACAUGACAUCCCCAAAUUUUGGUGGAAAUUUUAAAUGCAUUUGUUAAAUGGUUGCAGUGCAAAAUAGGCUCCAAAUUUAUGAAAAAAAAUCAUUUUAAAAGAAUAAAGCUCAGGGAAAGGCAAAAUUGCAAUUAAAUCCACUGAUAAAGAAUUGUUUCAUAGAGAGAGCAUACAAGCCCAAUAAUACUUUUGGAAAGUUUCCACUUGAGGUAAAAAAAAACCCAUAAUAUCAAAAGGUAAAUCUAGACAAAUGGAAAAGUUUAUUUCCUGGCAAAAAUUUUAACUUACAAAACAAGGUCAAAAUUUUGGGGUGUCACAAGUAUGGCAACUCUGUGUCAAUUCAGUAAAUUGCCAUUAUAUUGCAAAUGCAUCAUCUGCCUGCUUGAUGGAGUUUUAGCUAUACUAGUGGUUUUUUUUUAUUCUGUCUAUUCGAACAGAAAAUGAAUCAGAUUCUAAAAUCACCAUCCAACAAGAAAAUCUAUUCUAGAUCCCUACAAUCCUACAUGUACGCAAACAUUAUGGAGGGGCCAGUACAUGAGUAGAAAUACCUCAUCAAUACUUUAAGAAAAUGAUUCAGAGUCAAAAACCACCAUUCAUUAUGCAAGAAAAUCUAUGCUAGAUCCUUUCAACUAGCACGCCCAUAUGAAUUUGAUUCUCAUGUACUUAACAAGAAAAACCCCAAUGCCAUGAAAAAACAGAGUACAUGGAGGAAAAAUAAAUCUCAAAAAACCAGAGUAGUACCUCCGACAGCUCGUGAAUGACAUCCUCGUCGAAGUCGCCGCCCUUCCUGGGAUCCACAUCCAUCUCGAACUCUAUCUCGUCCACAGUGCCCCCCGUAGAACUCCUCCUCGAUUCUCUCAUGUAGCCUUCCAUCUCCUCGUCCAGAUCUUCCCCCACCUUCUCGUGCACACGCUCUCCGACUGGUAGCUCGACGGCUGGGAUGGCAGCGGGAGGAGGCACAGCAGUUGCUGCACCGCCAGCGGUCGCCGCUACGGCAGAGUCAGCCGCUGCAACCGCCGCGGCACCCACGACAACAGACUGCUCUCCACCGAUAGUUGCCUCCGGCUCGUCGGCCGCAUCUUCACGGCCGCGCUUCAUCGGCGGUCGACGACACGAGGAGGAGGAGUGGAUUGCUGAGGAAGGCAGGAGGGUUUGGGAGAGGACGAGGUGGUAUGGCUGGAGUGGGAGAGGACGAGGAUUUUCUACCCGAAUUGGGGAAGAAAAUGAAUGCGGCUGCCUCUUGGAGUCACCGAGGGGUCGAGGGGGGUUUGCCCCGUCCUCUCCCAGGGCCUUCCACAGUGUGGACGCGUGGGGUUUGCUCCGCGCCGUGCACCUCGCUUGCGCUAUGCCCCGCGCCGCCCUUCAAACUGCUGACACGUGGACACCAGCAGUGGUUACACAUGAUAGGUAUGGUAAAUGAAUUUCUUAAAUAUGAGGGCACGUAAUUUGUAUGAAAAUGCAUCAUCAGCCCAGCGAUAACACCCUCCCCACCACAAACUAAUGCCCUAGGUUCGAAACUCCGUCGGGCACUUUGGUUGGGCCUCUUUUUUGCGUACGAGGUUUUUACAUGUGGAUCCCACAUGUCAUUCACACACACGGAGAACACGUACAAACAAACUUACCGGACAUGAUGUAAAUGGACCCAAAAAAUGUCUACUUCUUUGAUUCAAAACAUGAGAAGGAAGCAUGACUAGUUUGGUAAGGUUGUCGGCAUUUGUAUGGAUAUUCUAGUACGAUUAAAUGCGUAAAAUACUUCUCGGAGGUGACGCGAGAAGAGCACAUUGUCGAUCCACUUGGGUGUCCAUGCCCACAACAAGGAAAAAUUAUUCUUAACAUGUCCAAAAAUUCACCUCCUUCACCGGCGGCCGUUCGGUAGGAGGCAAGGGUCCGUGUGGAAGGACGGGUUUUUUCGACCACCUCCAAAUGGUCCCUCUGGAAUGCGGUGAUUUUUUCGACCACCUCCAAAUCACCUCAAUUUUGGCACACAUGAUCUCUUGCACAAACAAAGCUAGGUUUCCAAGGUUUUAUAUUUUUUUGAAUUUUUUUGAAUUUAUACUGCCCUCUAGACUGACUGAUCAAAACAUCCGUCUAUACCUCAAGGGGGCAUUGUAAAAUAUAUUUUUUUUCCAAAUUUUCUUUCAUGGACAUGUUUGGCACAUGUGGGUCACCGUGUCAUAGAGAAAUUGAGUGAUUUGGAGGUGGUGGAAAAAAAAUCACCUUUGUCCAAAAAAUGGCUUAAGUGACCAAAUGGUCCCUCC
rnacentral:lncRNA from 1 species